rnacentral:lncRNA from 1 species
AUGGCGGCUCGGAUGUUGCAGGUGGCCCUCCACUCCCUACCAUCUUGGCUGGUGUUGUAGUCUUCCUGCUUCUCUGCUGAGUUGUUGGUUUCACUGUAAGCCCACCUUCCUAAGAUCAUUUGAUUCUCUCUCCGUUCCUUUCUGUAACAUCCAAUACAACUUGUACUGCCUCUGUUUUCCUGCAAAGUAAUUGCAACUUAUGGAGCUUCUUCUCAGGUUUUGUUUGAAGUCGAGUGAACAUGGGAACGUCGAUUGACCGACCAAGGCAUCACAAACCUUUCACGUCGCGACUCAGAUCACGACUUGGACAGCGACCGGAUUCAAGCUGCCUCCCAACGGCUAUAUUCCCGCAUUGACGAAGCGACUCCUCCCCCGCUAUGAAGGCUACCAUCGAGACCACCGUCAUCACCACCACAGCGCGCGCUCUCCCAACGGUCACUCCUCCCUCUUCUUUGCCGCUUUGAGCACCGCACUUUCUCUUACUCUGUCCUAAACGGUUCUUUCUCUCUGUUUUCGAUUCCAUCUGCUCCGCCUCAUUCAUUUGCGAGAUCUAAGACAGGAUGGAGACGGCGAAGGUGCAGCACGUGAGCAAGGCGUCGUCCGACGAGCUCCUCCGCAAGUUCGCCGAGCUCGACGACGGAACCCCGGCCGGCCCCUCCGCCCUCCUCCGCCCUCCUCCGCCACGCCUCUCCUCUCGUCACCAGGAAGAGAUCCAGGCGCACCGUCUCCGCCGGCGACGAGGCCGUUAGGGCAAGGAGGCGGAGGAAGAGCAAGGGCGGGCUGGCGGACCGGAAGUCUGAAUCGACCAUAGCACUCUCUCUCUCUCUCUCNNNNNNNNNNNNNNNNNNNNCUCUCUCUCUCUCUCUCUCUCUCUCUCUCUCUCUCUCUCUCUCUCUCGCUUGGGAGCAGCAACGACCAUGAGAUUUCUUCAAGGAGUGCUUUGGCAUGGCUAGAAAAGUCAACCUAUGCUUGGAAGGAAGAGAAACCUACCGAUUGACAGAUCAAUCCGAUCGCGCUUGCUGCAAGCUCAAGGUCAAGAAACUUUUCUAUUUGCGCCAGCUGUUCUAAAUCGAUGACAUUUGGACCAUUCAUCUCUCAGAGCAUGUGCACCGGCCUCCAGAUCCAGCUAAUAUAUGUUCUUCUCUCUCAACUUUGAUUGCUCCUCGCAUGAGCAGUAACGUUAUAUAGAGAUCGAUGCAUGAUCGCUGUAGCUCCAUCUCACUCUGAGAUAGCAACAAAGCCAUGGGCAGGCUCGGCCAUGAGCUGGUCAUCGCCCAUUUCAGUCACCCCCACCCUUUGGAGCUCACCUCCCUUCAUCGGCAACCGGCGACCUCCUGCGCCGGCUGCUCUCGCGAUCUCUCCGACCGCGCCUACUCGUGCAAGACAUGCGGAUACGCGCUCGACGUAUCCUGCGCUCAGAUGCCGCAGCGCGUCCGCCACCCGGCCGACGCCAGCCACAGUCUCACCCUCCUCACCGCCGGUGGCUCCUUCCGCUGUAACGCGUGCGGCGCCGACGGCUCCGCGUUCUUCUACCACUGCGGCGAGUGCAACCUCAACCUGCACUGCUCCUGCGCCGCCAUGCCGCUGUCUGUGGUCCACGCCGCCCACCUCCACCCUCUCACCCUCUUCUUCUUUCCUCACUACGAGAACAGGGGCUUCUCCUGCGACAUCUGCGGGCACCCCGGCUCGUACCAGUGGGUUUACAGCUGCACCAUGUGCGGGUUUGACGCGCACGUCGGGUGCGCGACGGCGGAGGAGGCGCAAGCGAAUCCCCCAUGGCACGAUUCCGAAGGCGGCGGCAGCGCCCCACAUUUAGCUCUGCAGAAGAUGGAAACCGGCGUGGGUGUUCGUAAGAUCGACAAACGCAAAGCAAAGACGAUAGCGAAGAGAGUUGCCGUAACAGUGGGGACGAGCUUAAUCUGCACUAUCCUAUAGAAUUAAUGUGCUUGCGUUUACUUCAACGAUCUCAAACCUGCAGCAGUCACAGAGAAUUCCUCCUCCCUCCGAAUUCCAACAGAUCGCUUGUAUGUGUUUGCUUCGAUCCCACUGACCUAUAAGACUUGCUUGUCGUUGGUCGAAAUCUUUUCCGGCCUGAGAAGGCGAGCUCUUUCAAGUUGAAGUGGAACAUGUUGCAGAAUAGUUUAUGCGGUCAGUGAUCAUGAUGUGCUUCUUUGUGACUUCAUUUUCCAUGUGUUUCCUGUUGCACGUCGCGCAGCAAAAUCUCACCCAAAAAAGAGCUUCUUUUUCUUCUCGCCUACGUGCCCCGUCCACGCCGAAGUCUUCGAUUCGCAUACCAGUGAUUGGCGCGGUGAGAGACGGCGAUGGAAGCCGACCUCAUGUGGAGAAGUUACCAUCCUCCGUUCGUUUCCCUUGCCGCAGUAGUUUCUUCUCUCUCCCUGCCUUCUUUUUGUGGAAUUGUUGCUCGAAUCUUUUUCGAUAUGCAUAUAUCUCACGGGGUGUGGAACCGAUCGCUGCUGUGGCCUGCAAUCCUACCGAAUUCCUUGUUUGGUAUUUGGUACCCAAUCGUUGCUUUCCUUUUGAUCUUUUUCACCGAUAAAAAGGUGGUCUUUCGUUGGCUUCCCGGGAGGGGAGUGAGAGGCGAGGGGAAGAGGGAAUCAGGGCCUUCGGGAAUGUAGGUGGUGCGGACUGGGGUCGCUUUUGGCUUUGGGUCGGGUAGUGGGUACUGAGAUCGCUGCUGUAGAUGAGCUGCUUUCCUUGUUUCGGCCCUCGCCGGUGGGAAGCGAGCGGUAGAAUCAAUGACAGCGGUGGCUCCCGAUCCGCUUCGACAUUCGUCGUCGAUUCUUCCUGUGGGUACACUCCUCAAAACUAGAUUUUAUCAUUAUUUUGCCCUUUCCUUUUGUUGAUUCUAACCUUUUGUUUCGCAUUCUGGUGAUGGCGACAGGAGUACAUCUGCAAGAAAAUUCACCUUUAGGGAUCUCGCAAUAGCCACCCAGAACUUUAAGGAAACCAAUUUGAUCGGGGAAGGAGGCUUCGGAAGGGUUUUCAAAGGGCGGCUUGAUUCGGGCCAGGCAAGUUAUCUCUAUCUUUUCUGGUACUUUAGAUUUUGAUCUAUCAAGAUCAUUUGCUCAUCAAAAAAUUGGACAUUGGAGUGCAGGUGGUGGCCAUCAAGCAUCUUAAGCACGAUGGACCUCAGGGGAGUAAAGAAUUCUUGGUGGAGGUUCUCAUGCUGAUCAUGUUGCGGCAUCCUAAUCUUGCGAGUUUGAUUGGAUACUCUGCCGAGGGAGAUGAGAGGCUGCUAGUUUACGAGUACAUGCCCAAGGGCAGCUUGGAAGAUCACUUGUUUGGUAAAGCUUAUUCUUUAUCUUCUUAUAUUGUUGAUCCAAUCUCUAUUAGAUUUGCUUAACUCUAGCAUUUGAUCGGCAAUCAUGUUUUAGGAUCUGAUACUGGUUUGUGUUGGCUGUAGUGGAAGAUACUGAUAGUCCACUACUAAGCACAGGGGCAGUGCAUCAAAUAAUAACAUUUGCCCCCUUCACAUGUUGUGGCCUUGAUUGAUUCGAUGCUCUGGCAUAUGGUAAUGGACUUUCUCCGGGAUCUGUACUAAAUUAUCUGUUGGAAAUGACCAUAAUUUGGAUGGCGGAGCAAAGGGGAAUCUUUGGGGGCCAACAUCGUUUCUUCCUAAUAAUUUCUUAAGCUGGUGGGGCAAUCUAUCUGCCUCCUUUUGCCUCUCCUUUUGAGAGUUUGAUCUUCCCUAUUGAGCAACAUUAUCUCUGCCCUCGGUUUGGGUUAGCGAUAAACGGACAGACUUAGAUAAAAAGAAAUUACAGCCCUUGUUGGAGAGGAAUUAAAAAUAAUGAGAUCAAGAAAUUGGUUUCAUUUUCUUUAGAGUGGACUAUUAUAGUGAUUCAAAUGAUAUUGUUCUAAUAGAUCUUGAACUAUAGUAAAAAAAGAAUCUGGUCUGUAUCAAAUAUUUGACUUUCCCUUUAACAGCCUCAUAUCAUUUGUUGGACAUGCAUAGAUGUUACAAGUUUGAUGGAUUAGAUGACUCUCUCUGCAUUAUUUCUUGUUAGUAUAUGCCACUUUUUGAUUGUUUUAUUAAUUAACUGUUUGAGUUCUUUAAGUUGACUGUUCUCGUUAUGUUCUUCACAAAUUACCGGUGCUUGUUCAUUCAGAUCUAUUUCCCAACAAACCACCUCUUGAUUGGGACAGACGAGUAAAUAUUGCUCUUGGUGCUGCAAAAGGGCUUAUAUACUUGCACGAUGUUGCAAGCCCGCCAGUUAUUUUUCGGGACAUGAAGUCUGCAAACAUAUUGUUAGAUGACGACUUCAACCCUAAGCUCUCUGAUUUUGGACUUGCUAAACUUGGCCCUGUCGGUGACAGGACACAUGUUUCAACGAGAGUGAUGGGCACAUAUGGCUUCUGUGCUCCUGAUUACGCGAUGAGCGGUAAGCUAACCCUGAAGUCUGAUGUAUACAGUUUCGGUGUGCUGCUUUUGGAGCUGAUAACUGGACGACGAGCUUUUGAUCCUUCAAGGGCUCGUGCAGAGCGGAAUUUAACAAUAUGGGUAUGUUAUGUCAUUUCAUUAUAUUCUGAUUUGCUUUGCAUUUUAUUUCUCGUUGGUAUGUCAAUUCAAUUUAUGGUUCCUUCCAUGUAUCUACACUGUUCAAAGAACAUGUUGGUAUUGCAAUAUAUGUUGGCAAGUUUGAGGCUUCCUCUUGUUGGAAUGCUGACAAAGUCCAAUUCCCUUUUCCAUCUUAACUUUGAAUUGUUGCUAAUGACUUACUUGCCUAUGUCUUUCCUUCAGUUACGUCCCCUUUUCUCAAUGAUCGGAGGAAGUUUUCGCAGUUAGUCGAUCCAUCUCUAGAAGGACGAUAUCCACCACGAGCCUUUCAUCAGUUGGUUGUCAUCACCUCAAUGUGUCUCCAGUAGCAGGCGCAUGUUCGGCCCAUCAUAGCUGAUGUCGUCUUUGCUCUAGACCAUGUGGCAUCUCAGCCCUAUAUCCAAGGAUCCGACUCCAAGAUCAUCAAGUCCUCUCCAUCCCCCUCUUGAGAACAAGGGUACAGCCUCGAGAGGAGUUUGGCCCAACAAUUCACCAAGUUGAGGCGUGGCAAGUCUACAGAAACAACAAUAUGGAUCAAGGGAUUGGGUAUGGUACAUUGCUCAUAUAACCAACCACAUGUAACUGCUGUUUGAACCUUCUCAGGCAAUGAUCAUUAGAUACCGGUAUCACCUCGUCAAGGAUAAUUAGCCGAUGUAAGAAGCCUUACGACAUCCGUUUUGUACAGGUUAAACAUGCUUCGAGUUCUCAAAUCUGAUGCUUAUGUAGAACUAUGGUAUCAGUCGAGAUUUGCGAUAAUCCGCUGAGAUCCAUGGAUGUUGACAUCAAGAUCUGUGUGCAUCCGGUUUUUGUCGAUAACUACUGUGUACAUAUACAUUGUUUUGAUUAAGUCUUAUAAUAUGUUGUCGUACGUCAAAACACUAUAAUUUCCUUUUAGAAACAAUCAUAAAACACCUACAAAUGCUUAUUAAAAUUGUACACAAAUAAGAAAAUUAAGACCCAAGGAAGAAUUAAGUCGAAAUUGCUCCAAGUACAGAACAGGAGACCUAUUUGAUCCAAUGCUAAAAGAUCAUCAAACCCCGUAGGUUGAAUAGAAGUAAUGAGAGUUGAAAGAGUGGCCGUUGACUUAACAUGAUCCACAUCAAAGGGUCAACGGGCAGGCAUCAUACCAAUGUUAGUGAAGGAAGCAAGCACUUCUUCCUACACAAAUGAAGUCUUUGAAUGAGUUGAGUUGACUUCUGUUUCUUGGAAUUGCAGUCCGAAGUCCAUUUUCUUGGAAGGUGGUCACACCCCAGCUGAGGGCUACUUGGAUAAGAGUUGAGGGUGUAAAUUAGCCCACAAAAUCCAAUCAAAAUAGAUUACUAUAUAUUGUAGGGAACAAAUAUGUCAUAAUUGUUAUAUACAUACAUAUAACUCAAAAAAAAUUAUAAUUUAUCAUAGUUUUGUAGAUGGAUUUUGACCAAAAGAUGACUUAAUAUUUUGAGGGAUGAUGAAAAAUAUACUAAUAAAUGAUUAGUUUAUUCUAUAAUUUAUAAUUUGAUAGCCAAUUUUUUGAUUGGGCUUAACUAAGUCUACUAAAUGAUAGGGUAUAUUUUGGUAAAUAGACCCUUCGAUAGCAGCCCAUGCCAAUGACAACAUUAACGAGGAUUUCGGAGGCCACCGUGGUGAACCACGGUGGAUCGAAAAACUCGGGAUGACAUCGUCGAGUACAAGAUCGUCCAGGAAACUCGGGACGGAGUCGUCGGGUAUGAAGCCACCCCAAGAAACUCAAGACGAUGCUAUUAGGUACGAAGCCAUCCCGAGAAACUCGAGACGACACCACGCAGCAUCAUCCCACACCAUACGACCGACUCCCAUGUAUAGGUAUAAAUGUCCACUAUCCGGCCAACGAGAGGGGGGGGGAAGGGGGACUCGAGCUUAUUCUACAUUCCUAUUCCACUCGGUUUUAACUUAAAUUUCGGAGGGGUCAAGUCGGGAAAAACUCCUCCCGAUCUUGGCCUGAGUGCAUGGGCUGGUGACGCGACGGCAUGUGGCUAUUCGUGUGACCCUUCUCGACUCGACGUCUAUCUUUGUUCCAAAAGUUUUCGUGUGUGCACCCUUGGACAUUCGAAGUUGAUCUAAGUCGUGUUAACUCCUCGGACACGACAUAAAGGUGCAAGAACACUAACCAUAAUAGACUCUCCUUAAACUAAAUAUGGUCAAGUGAUUGAUUGGAUCCACAAAGACUCCAUUAAUCUCAACGAUCGCUUCAUUAACAACUCUUCUCAUGUACUAAAAUAACAAAGCUUAGUAACAUAAUUAUUCUAAGUGCAUUAUUAGAGAUAAAUCUCGAUGUCACGAUAAGAUUUAGAAUCGAUUGACGUUGCUAUCGAAUAACAGCGGAUAGCGAGAUCAAAAAAUACACCGACUCGUUCACCGAAUCAUCCAAAAAGAAUGGAGUAAUUCCCGUACUUUUCUUUUUGGGUUUUGUUUGGAUUAAUGUGGCAUGUAGUUGAGGGUAACAAUCAAAGCGGUUGACUGUCUCUGUCCUGACAUUAAUUCGACAUCAACCGCUGAGACAACUGCCAGAGUGCCGAAUGGGAAGGAAACUAAAAAGUCCAUACGAAAUGUGAAAAGUCAACGUUCUUGGAGGAUGUCUCCAUCCUAAUUAAAGAGGAAGGUUUGAUGAUGUUUUGCGUUUAACUUGUUCUUUUAAUCGUCCCAAUACACUUGUCAUUCUACUAAUCCCAUCAUCCAAAAAAUCAUCCAAUAGCAUAGAAAACGACUUCAUAGAAAAAUUGAUUCGUGACUUAUCACUGAUAAGACUGUAUAUAUAUAUUGACCUCUUUCUCGAUCAUAUUAUAUAUUAUUCGUCUAUUUUGUUAUAGAUUUUAUAGAUUUUAGUCAUUAUCAAAAGAUGUGAAGUGUCUGUUGAUAAUACAUGAUAAAACAAAUUAAUAAUUUGUAUUAUAUUUUUCUCUUCAUGGCUUGAUAAGUCGAUUUCUAAACUCAUAAUAAUAAUAAUAAUAAUAAUAAUAAUAAUAAUAAUAAUAAUAAUAAUAAUAAUAAUAAUAAUAAUAAUAAUAAUAAUAAUAAUAAUAAUAAUAAUAAUAAUAAUAAUAAUAAUAAUAAUAAAAAAUUUAUUAUUAUUAUUAUUAUUAGUCAAUUGUUUUAUGGUUAGAUAAGUCUCUAUAACGAGCUGAUUAUUUAUUUUAUUUUUUUGAUUUAUCAUUUAUACUAACUUAAAUUUUAAAAGAUAGAUAUCCUAUUUAUGCACUUAGCUUGUGCAAUUAAACUGUAUCGAAUUCAUUGGACGAAUUUUUAUUUGUAAUAAUUUGCAAAGUAAUCCCGAGAAUAACUAAUUUUUAUUAUAUUAUAAAAAAGAAUAAUAUCUUGAAAAUUUCCUCACCCAUAUGAUUAAAAUAAAAUUAAUUUCUCUAAUUUAAUAAAAUUGAAGGAAUAAAAUAGAUUAAGUCUCUGCAUCCUAUCUUAAGACAAUUUAAAUUGAUUGGAUAAGCGUGAAUCCUCGAGAAACUCAACAUGCUGCCAUCUAGACAAGAAGAAAGGAAGGUGAAGAACAACCGAAAGUCCAAUAAACAAUGAUGGAGAAAUAAAUGAUCUUAUCGUCAAUCGAUCGAUAAGCCCAUAAGGUAAUGAGUGAUGAUAGAAGCUCAUAUCGAUUAUUUAUCGAAAUGCCAUUCGAUUCCAACAAGCUAACUACUAUUUGUAAUGCACAACAUUAAUAGUUGCCUUUCUAUGCGUCCAACCUAAUUUCCUAAUUAGUAGACCGAUAAAAGCAAUUACUCUCUACCUGAUCACGGGGAUCGGAAGGGCCCAACGCCCUUUAAGAUUCGUGCUGCGUUGGUGUGGGGUCCGGAGAUCGUGGAGUCGAGGGGAGCGGCGGUUGCGUGUCGUUGCGGCUCGCAGUUAUGCUUACCAGCCGAGAAGGGGACUGAGAUGUGACGUCUGCGUACGGCCACCGCCAAUCACCUCUCUCUGACGUGGCAAUGUGCGGCUUGAGAGUUCGAUUAAGACGUCCUAAAAAUCGAUGGAGCCCAAUAUAUUAAAGAUUAUUCCAAUUAUGUUGACCCAUAUAUUAUUCAUCAAACUUAAUUAAAUUUUGAAUAAGAUUAUUCUAAGAAAAAUAUUUUGAAUACAAAUGAGUUACUUAUGGUUUAUCUGUUUAAAUGUAAAGGAUCUCAACAUUUGAGGGCUUCAUACACUAUAUGAAAAUUUACAAGGACGGAUAUGUAAAAACGCCUGUUCUCUUCGGAAUCGAAUGGUGUUAAUAGUGUUUGUUGGGGGGCAAUUGUGCAAAAGUUUGUGAGGGUAUAUAUGCUAUUUCUAGAUUUACAAGGAAAUUUACGUAAAAGUACCUCCUUAUUUUAAUGCCUCCGGUAUUCACACCCCGCGGUAACAUUCACGUGAAGGAAGCGGUGAUCGUCGGGUGACGUCACUCCGCUUCGUGAGUAUAUAAGUAGCGGGGACCCCCACCCCAACUCCCCCCACUUCGCCUGUGCUUCCAUACUGCGUUCUCCCGCUCGUUGCGUCGUCUUGAGAGGUGAGCGAUCCGUUCGCGCGUCGGGCGCCCCACGGCCACGCCGAGGGUAGGCGGAAUGGAGCUUCGUCGGUGGGGUUUCCUCCUCCUCGUCGCCUCCUCGAUCCAGGUAUACAUCGUGUCGUUCGGGGCCAAGAGAGAGAGAGAGAGAGAGAGAGAGAGAGAGAGGGGAGGCGGUGGUUUUUUCUCUUCUUGUUCUCUACUUUAUCGGAAGGGCUGUUCGAGUUAUUGGCAGUCGGGUUUGAACAUUCGGAUGCAUCAAGAUAAAGAACAAAAGGAGGUAGACCAGACGGUGAUCUUUUGAUCUUUAUUAGAUUUUUUGAACUCUUAACGAGGAACGUACUUGUUCGCUUGUGUGAGUAGAAUGUCCUUGCGUUAUUGAUGCUUUUUCACCCUAAAUCAGCGAGUUAAUUGGUAACAUGUCGGGGGGGAGUUUCAGAAUUUCCCAAUUCCGGCAAAAUUUGGUCCUUUGGGACUACAAGAAGGAGAGGAGGUGGUGAUUUUGGAGCUUCUCAAUGCAAGAAAUGGUCCUUUGGCUUGUGAUUCUGUACUUUAGUUGGUUUCGAUUUCGGGGGGCGUUCAAAUUUGUAGUUGGUUUUAGUUUUAUGGACGCUGGAAAGAUUUUGCCUCUUUUUUUUUUUUAUUCCUUCGACGUUGUAAAGCGCAUGAGCCGGAGAUUUUACACAUUGAAUUGAACCUGGAAACGUAAUAAAUUGUUCCAUAUGUGGUGGUUGAAUGUGGUAGCCCAGAUUUAAUGUUUCUGACAUGAGGUCCGGUAGUGCCUGCUCUUUACAUUGAGAAAAUCGAUGGCACGGAUAUAAAUGCACUCGGUCAAGUUUGGUUUGUGUAAAGGUCAUGGACGUAUAUGUACUCAUAUAAUUCUGGUGUGGGUGAUGUUUGGUUUGUUUUUCACGUUCUUAUUGUCGUGCUACUGCAUUUAAUGCUGAAUUUUAGGCGAGGAAUGUUGUGUGUCGGAUCUGGCCGGAAUUUUCGGCCAAUGGCAUGAACAUGACUUUUAUCGUCGUCUUUCUUUUACAUGCUUAUUCUGCGGGAGCUACUGUUAGGAUUAUGUGAAACCUUAGUAACUGAGUUGAACCGUUUUCUGGAAGUGGGGGGAUCUUUGAAUGGCUUGUUCCCUUUCUUCAUCGAGAAGUACUCUGGUCUACUUUGAGGUAUCCAAAUUAGGAAAACUUGCUACAGCUUGGGUUUUAUGUUCAUUUUAGGUAUGAAAUUCCUGAGGUUCUUGUUUAAGAGUGUGAGAGUUGGACAAGCAUGUGUUACAGAAUACAAAUUGCUUUGGCUUCGUAUACCUUUGCACCUUCAGUUGGACUUUCUUAUCUUAGUUAGCCACGUGUACUUUUCAUUUUUGUGCUUUUGCGAACAAUGGACUAAAGCCAUUUCUGCCGACUGUGGACAUCAUAAAUCAAGUAUUUUCAUGCGAAAUUUACAGAUGUUCACAGCAAAGUUCUAUGGUGAACAAUUUGUUUGAUGUGCAGCAGAGCCAUUCUGUUGUCAUAAUACGAUUUUGUUCAUGCCAUUUUGAAGGAAUGUUUCUCUCUACAAUAUAGAUCGUUUUUUUCUUUCAAAGAUUUUCUUCUAUAUAGCAGAACUUAGGAGUUAUGUACUCCGAUUGCCCAUGCUAUCAUGUAACAUAUUUGGAUUAACAUUUUCUGAGUUGUCAGGCAAGCCCCUGUCCUGUUCAUCCAUUAGGAAAUUGACACCAACGCACUGAGGCUCCAAUUUAUAUUAACAGUUGUUGUAACUGCUUUGUAUUCUUGAUUUAGAGUAACUAAUAUUUGGAAGUGCCUCCUUAUAGAUUGGAAAAAAAAAAAACUUGCACAAUGUUGAUUUUUUCACUAAGAUUGAAUUUUUUUUUUUAAAGGAAAAUUUUAUUUUAUAUUUCUGGUGUACUGGCUUUAGUGUAUAUCAUUCUCUCAGAUAUGCUGCAUGGGUCUUGUGUGCACACAAUGACUUCUGUUGAAGAUAACUUAAUAUUAUGAAUUUCCCAUUUGUAGUGAAUUAUUCCUGUAGUUAGUUAAUGGAUUUCAACCUAAUUUGCAACAAUCUCAUAUUUGCAGUUCAUUUCCAUCUCGUUUCCAGCACGUGGGCAGCCGUCCAAUUCACAGUAAGAUAGAGUUAUUGUUCAUCUUGAAAGAUAGCCGGAUGGUUUAUUUAAUUAUGUAGAACAUAUAGUCAAGUAAUAAGAAACAAGAAAAAAGAUAUUGUGAAGGAGAAUGUCAAUGUCUUUUGUGAUGGUGGCUUAAUUUAAUGACUAAAGGCCCAAUAAUUAAUUUUCAUGUAUGCCAUCAAAUAAAAAAUUCUUAGCAAGGUUCUUAUGCCGAUCGAACCAAUGUGUACUUAUCAAUAUUUACCAAUUUGACCAAGUACUAGCAUUGAAGUAUAUAACUUGAUAUAGCACAUAUUGGUUUAAUUUUAUUUUUUAUUAUUCUAUUUAAUGUUAUCGGAUGGAAUAGGUCAGUAAACUGCCUGUUGUAUCGGUUUGAUAGGUUAUCAAAAUAUGUAUUAAAAUUUUUGACUCCUUGUGCCAUCUAGCGAAGAAAAUGUUGGUUAUCUUUUAGGAAUUUGAUAACAUGGUGGUGAAUAUCUUCCAUAUUUUAUGUAUAUAUUCUUUAUUUUCCUCUUUUUACUUUUUAGAGAGGUACGUGGAGAAGGGUAUUGUUCCAUGUAUGGUAUCUGUGGACAACGUAGUGAUGGGAAGGUUUUGAGUUGUCCCAACCGUACACACUCUGUGAAGGUAAAUUAGUAACACAAUCUGGUAAUCGUUUUGUACUUUUGUGCACAUCAUACUAAGUUCUUUUAAUUGGAUUAUCAUGUUUGUUCAUUCAAUUACAGCCAGACAAGGUGCUUUCUUCAAAGAUCCAGAGUUUGUGCCCAACAAUCAGUGGCAACGUGUGCUGUUCUCCGGAUCAGUUUGACAUAUUACGUGGCCAAGUCCAGCAAGUAAGAUGUCGAAUGCAAAGCUUGACCAUUGUUAUUACUGAUGAGGGGUAGCAUGCACUCUAGGCAGUUGCUAAUUCUAUGCCAAUCUAUUCAUUAAUUAUAGGUUCUAUGAAUUCCAUUAUUCUUUUUAUUGUUAGCCGUGCAUAUAUGCUGGUUCAGUUAUCUGCAAUGUUGAAUUGGAAAAUAUCUUUCAGAAAACUAAUCUAUCCCAUUGCUCCAGGUGUUGGAUUGGUUAUUGAAAAGGAUACUUUUGUGUCAAAUAUAUAGUACAAAUUAUGGUCAUUAACUGAGCACUGAUCAUUAGACCAUUCAUUUGUUACAGCUUGUUGUUGAUGUGUGAACGGUUAGAAAAUAUGAUAAAUGAAAAUCAACAAAGGAGUGAAGAGAACAGGAAUAUAUUUCACCCAAAAGUUAGAAAAGCAAAAAAAAAAAGUGUUUGAUCCAAGACUACACCGGAUCCAAUCUGAAAUUCAAAAAUGACUCCAUAGUGCACUUGGCUUGGUCUGCUGCUAUUUCAGGAAAACUGUGGAUGGAACAAGUAAUCCUUGAAAACAUGAGACAGAAUUUGUUUAGUCAAUAGGCCAUUUCUCAAGUAGAUUUCACUAGUAUGAUGCCAAGCCCCUAGAUGCAUAUAGAUAAAACCCUUAGUUACCUUUCAAUAAAUCCAUGAACAUUGAAGAUGACUGUUUGGAUGGUAUAUUUUGGCCAAAUAUGUUGACAAAUUUGCACCCCAUCUAGGAGGAGGGACAUGAAGCAUUUAUUGAAAAUUUCAGAUUUUUAGUUGAUUCAUUGUGUUAGCUGGGGAUUCUGCAGCUUGUUGUUUUUCUCAAAUUUCUUUUAUUAAGUACUUCAGUGUUUUUAUGUUCUACAAUUUGUUCUCUUAAUACUUUGAUUAUUCUUGUAUAAAUAUCUAUUGCAGGUAAUUCCCCUUCUUGUGGGUUGCCCAGCUUGCUUGAGAAACUUUUUGAAUCUCUUUUGUGAGCUUGUUUGCUCUCCCAAUCAAAGCCUAUUUACUAAUGUGACAUCAGUCAAGAAGGUGCAUUCUUCCUUUCCUUGUAUGGAGAAUUUAAGUGCGUGCAAGUUGGUUUGCACCUUUCUUAUGUCUGCUUCAACUGCUUGGUAAAUUUUUUUAGUUUUUACUGUAAUUUGUGAUUCAUUUUAGUUGAGUGAUGUGAUAUACUGCAUUUCAUUUUCCUGUUUCUUUGAUGUGCAUGUAAUAUAUAUGUGAAUUUUUUUUUGGUGAGAGUUUAAGCUGCAAUAUAUCAUAAUCUUUAGUAAUUUUACAUUUGCAGGUGAAUGGUAAUAGGAUGGCUGUUGAUGCAAUAGAUUUUUAUGUAACUCAUUACUUUGGAGAGCAAUUAUUUAACUCAUGCAAGGAUGUGAAGUUUGGUACUAUGAAUACUCGUGCAAUGGAUUUUAUUGGUGCUGGCGCCAAAAAUUAUCCUGGUGAGAGUUGUCAGCCUACACAUUUAUUUUAAUAAAAUGAGAUAUAUAUUAAAUUGAAAGAGCUAAUUGUGCUGAGAAAUAGUUAGACUUAUGUGUAUGAGACAGAAAUACUCCCUCUAUAGUAAACCAAAUGAGCUAAUCAUGCUGAGAAAUGAACAAAUUAUGUGACAUAGAGAUGCUCUUUGUAUCCUAAAUAUAUGUUUAGUAAGUCUAACAAUGCUAAUCCAGCAAAGUAUAAUGAUUUCUGGAAACACCGGAGCAUAACUUGGUUAGUAUCAUCUCAUCUCUCCCUUGCCCGGGUCAUGAGUACCUUAUCUUGAUUUUACUCAGUUUGAUUUUCUAAUUUUGAAUCACUUGCAUGCCUGUCGUUGUAGUAUAGGAUACUAUUUAUAUAGUUCUGUUAUAAUAAUUAUGUUGUGAUCAAAGUGUUCUUGCAGCAAUCGCAUCAGGACAUGCAGAGUAUUCUACUUUUUGUGAUGAAAUUGCUUUCUUUUCUUUUAAUUGCACUUGCAACUUGCAAUAUCCAUCUAAACUUCAGUUGUAAUAACUCUUAUUGUGUUUUAAUUCUGCUUGCAGAGUGGUUUGCAUAUCUUGGUCAUCAAGCAAAUUCUAAUGAACCUGGCUCACCCUAUGCAAUUACUUUUCGAUCAAAGUCUAAUGACUCAUCUGGAAUGAUGCCUAUGAAUGUAACUGCUUAUUCAUGUGUUGACUCUUCUUUGGGCUGUUCUUGUGGUGAUUGUCCUUCAUCUUCUGUAUGCUUUGAUUCUUUGCCACCAGCUCCACAUGUGAAACAAUUUUGUUCAAUCAAAAUUGUUUCUUUAAAGGUAAUACAUUUUGGUUAUAAUUAUUUGUAAUUACUUAUUCUGCUGCUGCCAUGAAAAAAGUUGAUUUAUAUGAGAUAGCAUAAAUGCAUAAGUAUCCUAAUUUAACUUAGAAAUUGCAUCGGUCAGUCUUCAUAGAUGAUUCUAUCACAUUCAUCAGUCUAUGAAGCUGAUUGUCUUCUCUAUUCUUGAAGAGCUCUUGGCUGUACUUAUAUUCUUAGAAUAAUUCAUGAAAAAACAUGAAACUGGUACACGAGGUUUUAGCCAAUGCAGGUCUGGGGCUUUCACUAAUGUGAGAUUUGGGGAGGGUCAAUAUACAUAACCUUACAUAGAGGCUGUUUUCGAGACUCAAACGUUGGUCUCUGUAGAGGAGCAACCUUACCAAUGCUCAUCCUCUUUUAAAUCUUAUUAUUUGUAAUUAAUAUUUCCAUGUUCCCCUAGGCACCUGCCUCGAUUGUGGCAGGCUACAUGUUGUUCUGUUUACCUCAUAAGCAUUGUUUUGUGUCAUUGGGCUAGAUGGUCAUUAAUUUGAAUUGUCUAGACAACUACUAGUGAGCCCAUCUGUGCGGGCCUCAACUGUUGAGAGGAGAUAUGAAUUAUGAUUUGUUAAUGGACUUUGCUACCCAUUGCCAUAAAAUUUUUAAGUUGUCUUCACUUCCACGCUUUCAACAAAUGUGUCAAUUUUCAAGAGAUGCCAAUUGGAUGACCAAAAUCAUAUUGUAGCGUCUCUCAAAUACCAAGGAGCUCAAUGCUUUUUACUUCUUGAUUUUCUCAAGUCUUUUGUUUGAAAAUGCUUUUCUGAUUGUUUACAGUUGAUCAACAACUUUAAUCAGUGGGUAGAGCUGCUUAGACAAUUAUUUGCCACCUGGACAGUCAAAGGGGAACCCUCACAAAAAUGUUAGUGAUUUAGUGCUUGAAAUUUCUGAGAAUAUUUUCAGUGGGAAGCUUCUACAUAUGAUACAAAUGUUAUUUGGAGUAGGAUUGACAGCUAGCCAACACAAAAAUUGACAAAAUUUGUGGUGGAAUGCCACAAUGAAGAAAAGAUGACACUUUGCUUGUGGUGACCUUUUUCCUCCUCUCAUAGUGGGAGGUAUUGGAUGCCUAUGAAUGAAAGGAUAACCUUUCAUCGAGCUAUGGAGGCUUCUUAUGUUUUAAAAUUACAAUUAGAGAACUUUUAGAGUUGAAAAGUUUUUUUUGGUGGGCCAUGAAUCAUCUCAAAUUUAUGAUACUUCACGUUAAAUGUUUUUUCCUUGAGAUUUGAUUAUGAUCAAGCUAAAAAGUCAGUGAAAAUGUUGUGUGUGGUGAUAUGUUUUCUGUUUCUAAGGAACUAAAGAGAUUCUAGUUUAUGAUCUCUCCCUCUUUUGUGUGGCGAUAUGUUUUCUGAUUCCAUCGAUUGAAGGAUGCAGUGAAUUCCUCAGAGGAUAGUAUGUGCAUCUGUAUGGUAACAGUGAGAUGCACAGCUGCUCUGCUUGUAUUCCUGUAUGCAAAGUGAAAUUUAAAUCUUAGAUAAAUGAAAUUCAACUAGUCAACUCUUCUGUCCAAGAGGAAAUUAUAUCCCAGUCUAAGUGCAAAUAUGAUAAAUUACAUUAAUGAAAAUUCUCAAAUAUGAGUACUGCAAGCUAUAUAAUUAAUAGCUUAUAUUGAUUUCCAUAACAUUAGCUUUCCAUGUUGGUCUUGUGCUGAUCCUCACAGAAUGUAUUGAAUAUAGUGGAAUUGGGGAUUUAAGAAAUCAUGCAUAUGCAAGCUUUACAUAAUGAAAUUUUAACAAAUGAACAAAUACCAUGAGAUUUGUCCUUGGUUCCAUUUUAGCAAUGAUUUUUGCUGUUUGAAGUUAUUGAACUGCACCAAUAAAACUUGGGUAUAUAUAUAUUUUUUCUAACAGGCAAGUUAUACUGAAAAUAUAUAGUCCCAGACUCCCUCUCGUGUGUAUUCCACAUGCAUAACAUUAGUACUACACAAAUUAGUGGUGGUGCAGUCUGCGUUGUUUAUAUCAGUCAAUAAUUUUGAAUAACUGUGACAUUGGUGAUUUGUUCGAUGUUUAAUCAUUAGAUACCUUUUCAAUUUGAUACAUUUAAUAGUUUGAAGUUUGAACAAUUUCAGCAGAUGCAUGUUCCACUAUCAAUGAUGUUUUCUCAUUUUUUUUAUUUAUUUGAUUCUCAUUUUAUGCAGGUCAAAUGUUUGGAUUUGUCAUUAGCAAUUGGGUACCUUUUCUUAAUUUCUGCUUUUCUACUAUGGGGUUUUGUAUACAGAAAAGAAAGAACUGAUUCCUUAAGAACAAAACCUUCAAUCAAUGUGAAUGAAGAGAGCAAGCUCAAUUCUGAUGAAAAGCAGGAAAUUCUUUGCAUUUCACAGGUGCUUUGUUAUUGUCUGAUGUUUUAGCAUGUGCCUUUUUAUGAUGUGGUGACAAUUUCAAUGCAUCUUAUCAUUCCACUUAUGUUUUCCUGAAGUUAUUUUCUUUUUGGAACUUCCAAAAAAAUAUUGCUAUUGUUUUCUUUGGAAUUUUACCUUAAAAUAUAUUCUUGUAUACCUGCUAUCAAAUAAAACAAUAAUUUUUUGUUGUAGUUAGUCUAACUAUAAUAUUUUUUAUAACAUUAAUGCUUAUGUAAUACCUGUUCAUUAUUUUAACAUUUUGAUGCCCGCUUUUUGUAACAAAUUUAUCUGAGUUAAUCAAUUUUUUAUUUAUGAAUAUGUAGCUCAGAUAUCAUUUUGUUACUUCAAAGAUUCAAUAUCUGGACUGAUGGCUUUUCAGCUAACUGUUUUGAUGUAUCUGGAAGGCUGCAUAAAUAGCUGUUAUUUGUACAUUUACUUAUCUCAUUUCUUUUUAGCAUUACCAAUGACCAGAUUUUGGCUGUGUCCAUGAUGUGAUCAUCUGCUGUAAGAAGAAGGAAAGAAUUAAUUGUAUUACUUGUAGAUAAAGUUUGUUCUCUUACUUCUUAAAUAUGCAGACAUUGUAUGUAGGACUCCUAUUGAACCUUGAUGAGGUGCCCUUCAGUCAUAUCUAUUAUAUGUUAUUGUUAAAAAAAAAACUGUUUUCAGCAAAUUUUGGCAUUGGAUUUUGUUGUCAUGAUCAAUUUUGUUUACAGAGUGUUUUUCAUCUAUAGAUAUCUGAAGCACCUCCAGUAGUUAAGGCACAGCAACCUGUUGCUCAACGUUAUAUGUCAGACUUCUUCAGGUGGUCAUCUGAUGUAAUGUGAAAAUUUGUAAUGUCGAAUAUUGAAAUAUUGGUUCUUUUUUAGUGUUUUCAACAAGUUUCUCUUGCAAUUGUAGGAAGUAUGGAAGUUUUGUUUCCAAACAUCCAACUCUUGUUUUGUGCUUAUCAUUGGCUGUUCCUCUUCUUCUAUGCCUAGGACUUAUCCAUUUCGAGAUGGAAACUCGUCCUGAGAAGGUAUCUUGUAUGACAUUCUUGAAAUGUUAGUUGUGGAAUCUGAGUUCGUUUGUAUAUGGAAUUAGAUGAAAUGAUUGGAAACAAUAUUUGUGUAUCACCUACACUAUUAAUUCUAGUACUUAAAGUAUCCUUGAUUAUGCAGGUGUGUGUAAAUUUGUGUGCAUUUAUGUGGAAAAUUGUACAUGUAUACUGAUUUUGCAUUCUGAAGGAAAGAUGUGUCAUUUGUUCUUGAUACCAUUUCAAGAAUCAGCUUUGCCUGUUUGCCACCCAGAACAAUUUGUUAAUGUUGUUCUAUGAAUUACUUCUUUGUCACGACUCUGAUGUAGACUUACUUAUUUUAAGAUUUCAUGUAUAAUUCUUGCAUGUUUUAUUUCUUUGUCCUGACUUUGAAUAUUGUGUUUGUUUAUUUAUAUUUCGUGCUGCUUAUUACUAUUUUUAUAAAUAAUCUUUGUUGUUGUACAGCUAUGGGUUGGUCCUGGAAGUAAGACUGCAAAAGAAAAACAAUUUUUUGAUAGCACCCUUGGUCCUUUCUACAGAAUUGAACAGGUAUUUAUGAUAACGUUGUCUUGCUAAUUUGUUGUUAGGUCACAAAUUGCACUUUUCCAUGCCAGUAGAUGAAAUUUGUGUUGCAGCUAUUGAAGAAAGAUUAAAGAAACGGUCAUAAGGUAUUGACUAUCAUAAUGUUGACAAUCGAUAUCCAGCCACAGAGGCCGGUACUGAUUUUAUUUAUUUUUUGAAGUAUUUUCAAUCAGGGUUUUGAAUACCGGUCCGUAUCGGCAUACUGAGUUUUGCUCGGUACGAUAUGUACCGGUAUAUAUCGACGGUAUGCUAGAGCGUACCGAUGAUACAUCUAAAACCUUAAAAAUACCUUUUACCUACCACGCCAGGGCAUACCGAUCGGUAUGCCUUGGUAAUGGUCAAAAUCUGGGACGAUACUGGUCGGUACACCUCGGUACUGGUCAAAACACCCGGUAGAAGACGGUCCACAUACCGGUAUCCUCUCGGACCAUAAUGUACCGCCCGUAUCGGGCGGUACACAUUGAAAUUGAGAAUCCUGUUUUCAAUUAUACUAGGUGGUAUGGAUUAGUAUUCCACCUGAUAAAACAUGAAUGUAUUAGUUCGACAGGUUGCCAAAACCACUAUCAGACCAAUAUACAAAAAUACCAAUUGUACGAAGUUUGCCACUCAAUGCCUUGGUUGAUGUUUCCAUGCCCCAAUCCUUGAUAAUGGCGUAUGUCAGCAUCAGUGACCUGUUAGUUAUGUACAACUUGAAUUUCUUUCUUUCUCAUUGUUGGUACUGAAUUUUGGUUGUGCUGCUCCUUGCAAGUGUUCAACUUGCUGAGACUUUCACCUAUAUUGUAAUUCAUGGCACAUUGGUGGUAUAAGAGCUUAACUUUCUUCAUUCUUGAAGCAUGUUUAAAGACACUAUUUUGAUGGUGAGUUUAACUCUCAAAAGCAUCAAAGGAGGAAGUUUAGGGUUUUAUAAUAUAGUAUAAUGUGUAAGCAGAUUUUUGAAGAUCAUGCUAGUAUGUCAUUUUGUUCUGGGAAACAAGCUACAUAUAUGCCUACCAUGGUAGUAUCUACAACAAAUGGAUCUUUUUGUAGGACAAAGUAUGAUUUUAGUUUGUGUUGGCAUGCCCUAUGCUGAUAACCUUGUGGGAUGGUCUAAACACUAUGACUCAGGUUCAUGUUAUACCGCUUGAUAUCGACAGUACAUAAUGAUACAGGCUCAGACUAUUUAGCAGAUUGCCUGUACUGGGAUGUCAAAUUGUGAUUCUUGCAACGAGUGAAAAUAUUAUUUAUAAAUAGUCAACAAAGAUAGAGAAUUUGCGGAAGGCCCCUUUAAUGUGCAAAAAAAAUGUCGUUAGAAACUUAUUACCUUCCAAUUACUUUCUCUCUUUCUAUCCUCUUCCGCCUCAAGAAUGCUGCACUCAUGAGGCUUGCCCUCAUUGACUCAGUGAGUUCUACCUCAUUGUCGGUGGCCAGGAAGAAAUCCUGGUUGUAUCUCUUAUAAAAAUGUAAUUUCUCUUCUUGCUCCCUUGUACAGGGGUGCAUUAGCAAAUACUGAUUCAAACAACUUUGUUUUAUUUACCACGGUUGAUAAAUCACAUAACUUGGUGGCUUGUUUUAGAUUAAAAUUAUAAACUUAUUUGCAAGGAUUAAUAUUUUGAGGCAAGUAGGUAUAGCACAGUAUUAUGUCAUUCUAAUUGGUACUCACAUCUACAGUCACAAGAAAGAAUUUUGUCUUAACAUGUAUUACUCGUGCUUUUUAACUGGAAAUUGCAUUCUAACCCAAAGUUCAAUUUAAUACCUUUGUUUAUUUCGUUAAUUGUGCCCUGAUGUUUCCUUUCUUGAAAAAUGGUCUUGUUGCAGCUUAUAUUAGCAAGUAUUCUGGAUUCAAAUGGUGAGAGAGCACCAAGUAUUGUGACUGACAAAAACCUAAAGUUACUUUUUGAAUUACAAAAGAAGGUAUUUUGAAUUCAAACUUAAGGAUGUGCACUUAUAUGUAUCCCUCAGAAUUUUAAGUUUUCAAAUAUCCCUAGAGCUUUUAAAUCCAACCUUACAGAUAUGUAAGUGUAACAAUUUUAAAUAAUUAAAGGUUGAUGGGCUUCGUGCAAAUUAUUCUGGAUCCAUGGUUUCCCUAACUGAUAUCUGCUUGAAGCCACUUGGUAGAAAUUGCGCCACUCAGAGUGUUCUGCAGGUGCAUUUUUUUCUGUAUUAUCUUAUUUUGUGAUUUCAACUUUCAAGAACUUAAGCAUGUUUCAUUCUGUCAAAAGGUGUGUGUUUUAUCCUUUAUCUUCAUGUGUUGGUUUGUGUCACCUUGUUUGCAUGUUGAUGUUCCAUCGAUGCUGGCACAAAAAUUGUAAUUCUUAGAUAUAUUCAUAAAUUCCUGCCUUACUGAAAAUGUUUUCAAAAGGCUGCAAUGUGAAUACACAAUUUAUUCAUUCUGUUCAAAGUAGAAUGGGAAGUUGUCGGCAUUGAAUGGAACUUUCUUAAGGCAAGAAACAUCAAUGGAAAAUGACUGUGUUUUGUGAUUAAAUAUUAUUAAAAACUGAAGAUAAAAAUGGAGAACUUUGCAGGGCGGGACCUAGAUCAAUAAUAUACAGUAAAGGAAGAUUACUAAGGUCAUAAGAACUUGUCUAAACAAAAUGGACCUGGAUAAUUCUUUUCUUAAAUUUCCUACUGCAAGAACUAUUUGAUAUUUGGGCUGAACACAUCCAUUUUUUUAUCUAACUAAACAUCAUUGUGGAAAAAAUAUUAUAUAAGAGGAGAGCAAAUUUGUGUUGGAAUUUAUAAAAAUGAAAAUCCUACCACAUUGUCAUAUACGGAUUUUAGAAUUCGGAAAAUAAAGAUUUGACUGAUAUUUCAUACACUGCCUGAGGAACAUACUGGCCAGAAAAGUUAAUACCUUUGUUCUUGCUCUACACAAGAAUUGUUGUGCCAAACCACGGCAUGGGAAAAACACAAGUAUCUUGUCAAGCUAUGCCAACAAAUACUGCUAUGCUGACAUAUGUCUGGGCUAAAUUUUGACUUACAUUGUUCAACACAAGGGAUGUGCUUGGCAGCAUCACACAAUAAAUUCCAUGUCAGGACUUUCAUCAGCAUUCUACUGAGCCCCAAACCAUCAAUCCUUCUAUGUUGACUGUGUGAUCUGGUUAUUUUUUGGUCAUAUGCAAUGGUUGUUUCCUGAUUCCAUCUCUAUUAACGAACAUAAUUGAGAUUAUAUUUUCAUCCAACUCUUUGUGAAUGAAAAGAUCCAGUGACUAUCAUGGAGAUCUAUAGAAAAAUUAUAUGGGUGAUUAACAUGCCAAAGUUUUGAUGUAUCAGCCAUGUUUAAGGUGUAUGCUAGCACUUCUCUAAUCCGGUGAUAAUGUUGUUACAUUACGUUAUGUCAUUUUAUAUAUCUAUGUUUGCUCAAGAUAUGUCAGUCUGAAUAUAUUAUAAGGGAUUUUGUUAAGCAUUCAUGUAGGAACUAUAAAAAGAAACAAAGAAACAAAGAAACAAAUAUAAACCAUUCAUAAACAUUCAUAUUGUCAUUGACAGCAUUACCUGUUAGGUGUUUUUCUGUUUUUAAUGGUUAUUCCCUGUCACUUUCUUUCGACUCUUGUUAUAAUUGUACAAGAAAAAUCAUUAUGUUAGAUGUUUUAUAUGCUUUCAUCAAUUAGGAGCAUUUUUUUACUUAAUAAUUAAUAUGAUUCUUUUUCCCAGUAUUUCAAAAUGGAUCCCCAAAACUAUGAUGCAUAUGGAGGUUUAGACCAUGUUCAAUACUGUUUUCAGGUAAGCACCUUUGAACUUUACAUGUACAUUCUAUUUGUGUUGUAUGGAUAUACACUUCUGAUGUGGCAAUGACUUGGGGUCAAUCUGAUCUUAGAUCAUCUGACCUCAUCUGUAUGGAUCUAAUUUGAUAAUCUGAUUAGUCAUCUUAUUUAUUGUGCAAUUAAUAUAAGAACCAGGUAAAGAUCCACCUCGAUAUGAUCUAUUUAUGAUCAGAUCCAAUUAUCUUAUAUUUAAAUUAUUAGUGUGUCUGUUAUUCUAUUAGUUUAGAGCUUUGGUCUAAUGAUGUUUAGCCUGGAUGAAAGCACAAAACUUAAAAUCUAGUUCUUAAGUUUUAGUUGGAACUGCAAACCUGAUUUUGUACUAGCGAUUCAAAUACCGAUUGGAUCGAUAUGUGUGGACAGGUAAAUAGCCGGGCCGGUACCUUUUGACCAAGAUUUACCAAUCUAAUCGUUAACCUUUACUAGAUCAUAUAAGUUGGGCACCAGUUGGUAUUUAAUAUUUUGUUUAUUUUCUGGGUAUUACUAGGCGGUAUAAGUCGAUAUGCUGCUUGUAUACCCAGUACCAUAUCACUCUGAGUGGUUGCAUAAACUAGUAUAUGAUGGGCAUCUGAAACCUUGCUUUGGACUACCAUAAAAUAUAAUGUUAUCUUUUCUUUAUACAAUAUUUCCAGAACAUUUUUCUGAAAUAUUUUUAUUACUGUUCAAUGGUUUGAGCUCAAAGGUUCUGUUCUCCUUACAGCAAGCCAUAUAACUCACACUAUUUGGCAUCAGAUGCAGUGAUCUUGUUCUGAAAUUAGCUAUAUUGAGGAUUGAGGGCAAUAGCAAAUCAUCAAAUUCAUUAAUGCCUUCAAAUUUUUUAUGUUAUUACAAUAUGCUCAUCAUGGUAGUUAUGCGAAUACUGAAUACAAUCCUCUAGCAUCUAAUGAACUGAUUCUAUUUAAUAUAUAGAUGGUAGUCUUUUGUUUCUCUUUAUAUAUUCCAUCUAACUUUGUUUGUCUAUUUGGGCUGAUUAAAACAUCUGUUGCCAUAACUUUUCUUAUGAACCUUGAAUGGCUAUCAGCAUUUCUCUUCUGCCGAAAAAUGCUUGAGUGAGUUUCAAGCUCCUCUUGAUCCCAGCACAGCAUUAGGGGGAUUUUCAGGAAGUAAUUACUCAGAGGUGGUUCUUUAGCUUCUAAGUGCCUUACAAACAAGUAUAUCAUUGUUCUAACUCUUGAAUGGGCAGGCCUUGGCUUUUGUAAUAACUUAUCCCGUGAACAAUGAGCUUGAUAAAAAAAGCACUGAAUAUGCAAAGUCUGUUGCCUGGGAGAAGGCUUUCGUUCGCUUAAUGCAGGUUCCUCUUCCUUGCCUUAGCACUCCCUUAUGAUGCUUUAUAGUUUUUUAUUGCACAAGUUUCUUUGAUAUACUUGCUUUGCUGGCAACUUCAGUUUCAAGUCUGAAAUUAUUUAUAUUUAUUCAUGAAUGCUGAGAGUAAUGAUGCUAAGUGCUAUUUUCUUACACUGGAUUUGUCAUCAUUUUGAAUGCAGAUAUUGAUUAUUUUUGUUGUAGCCUUGGCUUUCCAGGUGUUAAAACAAUAAAAAGAUAGUCAUGGUUCUUCUUUAUAGUAAUAUAGUCAUGUAUCCUCUUUUAUGGUUCUUGUAUGGGACUAAAUUUUCAUGUUCUUCUUCCAUGUAGCUGUUUUUAUUCUACAAUGACUAAGUCUACAGGGGCCUUAUCAUAUAUAAAAUGCAACAAUAAAUUUGCUCUGCCAUUAUUGGAAAUAAUCAAAUGUUCUAUCGAUAUUGUUUCAGUGUGGCUUAAAAUGCUUAGAACUGUUGUUAUUAGCACUUUGGUAGUACUUCAUUCGUAUUUAGAUGACUGACAGAUCUAAGGUCAACAUAAGUUGUUGGCACCAUCACAUUCAUCAAGCUAGUAGCUGAAAUUAUCAUAUUGUUUUGAGAAAUAGAUACAAGUCCAAAAGAAAAUAAUUGAUAUGAUCAUAAUCUAUAUGCAUAAAAAAAUGUAUAUAAGGAUAUGUUGUUGCUACUUUCAUCUCUCUUCUUUGAAAUAAAGGAGUUCCUUAAUGCUAAUUUAUGAAUUUAAAUAAAAGUAUGUCUCCAAAGUACUAGUCAUUGUAUAAUACCUAUAUUUGGAAGACAUGCCAUUUUUUAGUCAUGAUGCUCACAUAAGAACUGUCCAAAUUUCUUUAUGGCUUUUAUUUAGUCAAGUUCUUCAAUGGACACAUAAUAGUUUACUGCUAGCGUCAAUCAAUACAUGCAACAUGGUCUUGCUUGUGGCCUUUUUAAUGCAGGGGGUGCUUGGAGAAACUGAAGAAGAAAGGAGAAAGGAAAAGAAGAUCAAAAUGGAAAGAGAAAAGAAAAGAAAACUAUAGAUUAAUUACUCUAAUGACGUAUCACGUAUGUUCCUCUGGUGAUCGGUUUUGUUCCCUUUGAUGGUGUAAGCAAGUCUUGAGCCUGUGGAAUGAUUGAAACCCUAACCCAAGGUUGGACUAUGCUGUAAAGGUUUUGGAAAAACUUUAAUGUCUCCUAAUCCACAACAGGGCUGAAAGUUGAUCUAAUCACUGAAGCUUGGAUAAAUCACAGAUAACUGAUACUGAUGGCGCUAUGCUUGUUGGACAUGCUAUAGAUACUGCCUGUUACAUGGUGCAGUAGAUUUUCAUUAUUGAUAUAACCAUUUCAGAAACGUAAAGCUUGAAUUUUCCUGUGUCAGAGAAAAAGGGUAGUCUGGUGCAUGAAUCUCCUGCCACUGCAGGGUUUGACAGAUCAAUGUACUUAGCUGGCAUUGCAUAUAAGAAGAGAGGUUAUUCAUAAUCUUAUAUUUUAAGACUUAAAGGGGCAACUUCAGAGUUCAGAUGGUGUUCUAUAAGCAAUUCUCUCUUAUUGGUUCAUAUUGUUUUGUUUUAUAUAUUCUUUAUAUUGUUCUGUAUUAUCUGGGAUAAAAUUGGAAUUUAAUACUGAUAUUUUUUUAUAUUCUUUGGUAAAUUUUGAUUAUAUGUGUUACAAUUGCAACAGGAUGAGCUUGUACCAAUGGUGCAGCCACAGAAUCUUACACUUUCUUUUUCAUCAGAAAGCUCUAUUGAGGAAGAAUUAAAAAGAGAAAGUACUGCUGAUGUGAUAACUAUAUUGGUAAUUAUACUGUCACUAAAAUUAGAAAGUUACUACGGCUACUAGAAAGAUCCUUGUAAUACUUAAAAAAGGUUUUUUUGCUCUCUUUUAUGAAUUUGAUUCAGGUGAGCUAUCUUGUAAUGUUUGCUUACAUAUCCAUCACGCUGGGAGACAGAUGUCAAUUGUCAUCUUCCUUUGUUUCUUCUAAGGUAUUAUAAUUUUCACUCUUUUCUUUUUUGUCCCUCUUUAUAUGUUUUAAGUUAUUUGUUUAAGUUGUAUAUAUUGCAUUUUACAUGAAAUUUAGCAUUUUAUAUAGUAACAUACUUGCUAGGAAAAUUAUGUAUUUAGUGCUUAACUUAUAUGCUUUUUAAAGAAAAUGAUGCAGCAACCGAGGAGUCUGACUAAGUUCCAGUGUUGUAACUUGGCGAUCAAGAUGACCUCAUUUUUGAACUCCUCCAAACCCUGCCCAGAUCCUCUGACAAGUCUUUUGACAGCAAUUUCUUGUCCUCCUGAUAGCUUGCCCUGUCCAAUGAUUUUGCGCUUUGGUAUCAAAUUUCAUUAUGUAUAUAAUAUAUUUCAUAGGAAGAAAAGACCAUCUAGAAUUCGACAUUUGGGUAGUUGUCCUUUACCUUGUAAACUAUGCCGAAACCUCCUUUUCCCAGCUUAUUUGACUCGGAGAAAUUGUUUGUGGCAAGGAGUAGGUUUCCGAAGUUGAUUUGUGGAAGUUCUUACUACAUGUUUUAAACACAUUCUAACCCCAUUAGAGUACUCACCGACCAUGGUAACUUGGAAAUUGUAUCCAUUUUUCACGUAUAUCAUGCCUAGUUUGUUGUUUUGUUUGGAUUCUUAGAGCACAAGCACAGCCAUAUAAAUUAAGAUCGCUAGUGCAUUAUGAGGCAUGAGUGUUAGGCUAUUCCAUUCUAUUCAUUGUGGGCUUGGUUUCUUAGUAUGCACCCUGUUACCAGUUAUUUAUGCCUAUAAGAAUUGCACCUGCCCAGUAUCGUGUGCAGGUUGGCAUGUGUAAUUGGUGCUUUUGAAAUUCUUGUGGCAAUAGACAUAGCUACUGAGUGUGGUGUGGGAGGGCAACAUCUGUAUUUCUAAUCAAUCUAAUAUCUUCUUGUUUCCUCUUUCUCUGUUGUCUAUAUAAUAUUUUUUUUUAUAGGUGCUUCUUGGCCUGUCUGGAGUAGUUCUGGUUAUGCUUUCUGUUCUUGGAUCAGUUGGGUUCUAUAGUAUCAUUGGAGUUAAGUCGACACUCAUCAUAAUGGAAGUGAUACCUUUUCUUGUUUUGGCUGUAAGUUCUUGUUUCUUAUAAUUUUAUUUUCUAUUACCAUUUUAAUUCUAUUGACUGACUUUUAAUUUGCAAAUUUUCAAGGUACCGUUGAGUGUUGAUAGACGUUAAACAAGUAGAGUAAAUUCAAGCAUAAAAAUAAAAGUAUACAUUGUUGAUCAAAGCAGUGUCUGCCAUACCGAAUCGUACCGCCCGGUACGGGCGGUACGUACCGGUCCGACAGGCCAGCAGUACGUGGACCGCCCGGUACCGGUCCGCACUGUAGCAGUGCUACAGUGCUCGGUACACCGUACCAUACCGGUACCGAGCCCAGGUCGAAAUAUCGGUACGGUACGGUAUUGCGAACUUUGGAUCAAAGUAUAAUACAUGAAUCUUUUAGUAGGAAUAUCUGGGUUCCAUGAGGAAUCCUCUUGUCAGGCUCCAAUUAUAGUCUGAUAUGCUAUUGCAUUCUUUGAUUGAACUAAGAUGAAUUACCCUAAUUGCUCCUCUUAAAUAUUUUUUUGUACAUGUAACUCUAUGUUUUGUGGAACCUCAACACCCCCAUUCCAUAUGUUCUGCUUCUUAGGCUACCUUGAUGUUGAGCACUCAAAUUUUUUUGUAGCCUGCAUCAUUUACACGAAUCAGAAUUAAUUGUCCAAUAGUGCCUUUUUGUUACGAUAUACAAUGAUGGAAGUGUAAAUGACCUAGCUUAUACCUAUUGUUAUAUAUAGUUUCUUUUGUUCAAACAUUAAGUACUUUGAAAAUAGCCUCUUGGUCAACAGACCUACUGACCUAGGUUGAUAUUUCUUUCUCUAGUCUCUCUUGCAAUUGCUUUUGUUUAGACAUGAAUAAUUUGGACUUCUGUGGCAGUCAUCAAUGAAGCUAGUAUCAUCUCAUAUAUUUAAAUAAGGACCCAAGUAUGCUAUUUAAUUGCUAUUGUUGGAUCCAUCAAGAGGGUUAUCACUGAAUUCACUUUCUGAGAUGGUAUAUUUUCUUUUUGAAUUUAUCUUAUUUCUUUAAACAGUAAAAAUUGUUAAAAUGAGGUUCCAGGUCAAAAUGUUAGAGUUUAUGUAUAUACACAUUCUUUAUAAUUUCAUAUUACAGCUUUUUCCUUAGCAAUAUCAGUUGUCAAUUUUCAUAGUAGCAAUUGUUGUGCCAGUUAAACAUUUAAUGCUUAUUUAAAUUUUCGCACUUCUUAUAAGUUGCUGUCUCUGGACUAUCAUUAGCUGAUUUUUUGUUUAUUUGAUAUAUACCAGGUUGGAGUGGAUAACAUGUGUAUUCUUGUACAUGCUGUUAAACGCCAACCAUUAGAGUUGGUUUUAGAAGAACGGAUAAGUAAUGCACUCGUGGAAGUUGGGCCAUCUAUCACCCUUGCUAGUUUGUCUGAAGUUAUGGCCUUUGCUGUGGGUAGUUUUAUACCAAUGCCUGCAUGUCGUGUUUUCUCCAUGUUUGCUGGUUGGAUCUUUGUGUCUCCUUUCCAUGUUCUUUCAUGUGAAGUUUAAUUCCUAUCCAGAUUAUCAACUAAACCUUUUUUGUGUCAGCAUUGGCUGUUCUACUGGAUUUCAUUUUGCAAGUUACAGCUUUUGUUUCUCUGAUAAUCUUCGACUUCUUAAGAGCUGAAGAUGACAGAGUUGAUUGUGUUCCAUGUAUUAGACUUGCAUCAAGCAGCAGCGCAGAUGAAGGUGCGUGGUAAUUGGUGUUGUGUGUCAAUCUAUUGACAUCAGCUCUGAAUUAUUAUGUAACCAUAAAAGAAUUCCUCCUGCCAAAUAUACAUAAACUCAUGAAAUGUUGUCAACUUAUGCAUGAUUAGGUAUUGUCAAACAGGAUCUUGGGUUGCUCACACGCUAUAUGAAGGUGUAGUCUAACACUUUCCUUUUUAUUUGUCCAAUACAUUAGUUGCAUUUUGUGUAAAUUUAAAUCUAAUUUUAAAUUUUUAAAUGUUCUCCCAUAAGGUUUCACAAAAUCCAAAAUACUCUUUUAUGAGGAUAAACGUCAACCAAAUGUUGAGUUCUGUACUGGAAAAAUCUGUUACUUAGGUGUGGCAAACAUGAUGGUUUUGUUAAUUGUUCCACUUGUUCAUGCCAAAUAGCUUUGGAGUAGGAGUUUUCCAGUAAAUAUCUUAGCAUUUGCACAAUUCUACAACAUACUAAAUUAGGUAAUUUAUUUAUCUCUCAAUAAUGCAGGCAUUUUUUUGGUUAACUAACUCUGCAUAUGCUUGUCUUUUGUUAUAUCUUUUUCACGACAGAUCCUUACCCUAAAAAGUGAGGAGGGUGCAUUAGGCAGCUGAUAAAUGAUGUAAAACUUUAUAAGAUGUUGCAUGCUUGGAUCCUCUAAUGAUCUACUAGAGCUAGGCCAUCGCCAAAACUGACACGUUUUUCACCACCUGGAUACCUUAAAGAGCAAAGUAGGUUAAGUUGCCUGGGAUUCUUUUUCUACUACUGGAUAUGAUCAGUUGCAGAGUCUGAUCUUAAGGUUGUUUUCUUUAACAUAAUUUAGAAUGAUCCUUCGUUACUAUGAUACUGCUAAACCACAUGCAGGAAGGGUUGCAUGUGACUUCUAUGGUGGUUUAUGUUGGAUAUAGCUGCGCAACAUUGGCUUGGUAGCGAAAUGUCAUGCUACCCCAUGUUGGUUGAAAUGUAGUAUGCUGUUGACUGGAGCAUGCCAACUCAAAACCUUGCUGAUAUUACAUAAUUAUGGUGCUAGUAUAUUGUGCAUGCCAACAAUAUCUUGUUUCUCUGUGUCCUCCUAUGGUGCUUGGAUAUAAUCGGGCAGAGUUCUAAAGGUUAAAUUGUAAUUUCUUGGUUUUUACAUACCACUCCUCUUGUUUUCAAGAAUGAAAAUAAAUUAGAAUUGGUAUUCAGAGUUGCAAAAGCUUACAUAAUAUGUUUCUUAAUUUCUACAGUGUUGUUGACUCCUUUGGUGUAAAGAUUUUUAGUAAGUCCAUUCUUGUAUGUUCAUGCCUACAUAUCUCAGGAUGAAUCUACUAACAGUUCCAUUUAAUAUUUAGAAAUUUUUACCUUUCUGUGGUUCAGAUUCUGAUAGAGUUUGAAUUGAAUGGAUGGAGAUUUACAGGAAAGUACUUGAGUAACUCUUUUUUGUAAUUUUUGUGGUUCAAAUCACCUCUGUUUCAAUGUUUAUUAAAAGUUUUGUUUCAUCAUCAUUUUUGCUGUUGUACAAACAGCCAGUUCAAGAAUUCAUAUGAACAUCACAUUAUUUAACUAUUAAUCAAUCUUGAUUGGAUUAUCCUCGGCAUGGAUUUACAUUUAUUUUGUUUUUUUUUAAUAUUAAACUAUUAUAUUCUGAUUUCAGUGACCAUAUCUUUGGAUUUUUCAUGACAAUGUUGCAGGAUGUCCAUGCACCUCUUCUUAGCCUUCAAGGAGUCAAGAUUGUUGUAGUUGCUGUAUUCUUUGGCUUUGCUUUUGCAAGCAUUGUGAGUCACUCUAUAAUUUGUUUGUUAAUUAUCAAUUUAAAUACUUGGGAUCUUUCAAAGAAUCUCAUCACUAGAAUCAUAAUAUACCUUCUUGAAAGAUAGAUUUCUUUGAGCUAGCACUGUUUCAUAAUUUAAACCCUAAAACACUUGGAUUGAGAGCUUCCACUAAAUUAGGGAUUAUGGAUUGAUGUAAACUAUGCAGCUGAACACUGCAAUAUAGAGGUUGACACCUUUAUACCAUGUAUGCCAAUAUUUGCAGAUGCUUAUCAUUUUGUCAGGACUUGGUGCUCACUAUAUGCUCUGCCAUGCAUCAAAAUUCCUCUCAGAUUCUUUAUAGCUGCAUUAUUUUGCAUGCGCCCUUCUGGACUAAACAUAAUAUUUUCGUGAUAAUAUGUGAGAUUCAAUAAUUUCUUAUAUAAAGUUAUAAACUAUAUUUUUUAUUGAAAUAUCCAUCAAUAAUCUCAGAAUUAUUGAGGAAUACCUUUGGUUUUUACAUCGAGAAAAAGAAGCCAUGUAGAUAAUUGAAAGUGUUCAUUACAUAUGUGCUAUGUAAGAUGAUUUUCUUAGGUUAUUAUUAAGCAUUAAUUUAGAUCUUGAUCAUACCAACUGGUAUAAACUGGUUUUUAUCAGUCUGAUGGCUGAUCGAUACAUGGACAGCCAACUUCUCCCAGUCUAGUCUGAAAGUGGGUUUACUGCCUGUAAGCCUACCGCACCAGCUUUACUAGGUGGUAAGCUAACUAAUACUUAGCUUUUAGGGUGGUAAGCCUAUCUCUUAGUACCCUUACCCAUCAUCUGGCCCCCUUCUUUUUUGUUUCUCUUUUUCGUCCUAUUAUUGCUACUUUGCUUCUCCUCUUCGCCAUAUUAAUGCUUCCUUGCCACUGUUCCUCCUUCACUACAGGUUUGUGAUGUGCUGCACUUUCUUUGCCUUAAGAUAUCUCUCUUCGUCCUCAUCCCCCUUCACCUCCUCCUGCUCCUCUCUCCAGCUGAUACUGAUAUCGAUAUCAGAUCAAGAUUUUAAUCCAUGGUUAUGAGACAAAUUAAAAUUGAACUUGAUGGUAAGAGAGUAUUAGCACAGUGAGCCAUUGGCCUUGUGGCUAUUAGUUUCUUGGUAUGAUGAUGUACAAUGAUCUUUUGAAUUUUUAUUUAGAUUUUGAAGCAAAACAAAAGCAACUUUUUUAUUUUUGUUCUGAACUAGGAUAUAUAAACAGUUCAAAAGGCUGUCUUUACAAAUGUUUAAAUUAAAACCACAAUUUCCUCAUUGGCUAUAUGCCUUGUAUUGUCUGACGAACACAUGCCACUAGCAUAGUAGAUUUGUUUUUAUAUUGACAAUGGCAUCUGGUGGGGUAAAAAGGGAGUAACAAAAGAGACGAGAAGAAAGAGGAAGCUCUAUAGAUAAAGCAUAAAUUUUAGAAAAUGACCUCUCCUUGCCAAAGUUAUUGCCAUAAAAGAUGAUAGGGGGGCAGAGAAGGUGGCAAAUAAAAAGACAGAAUAAUGAAGUAAUGCAAGGGUUUAAUGCCAAUUGGAUUUGUGCAUGCUAAUCAAUAUCUACUGCUCUGACCAAGGACUGGUGUCAAUAUAUGUCAAUCCUGAUUAAGACUUUAUUUCUUAUUACUUUUUUAGUGAUACCAACUACCAAGAAGGAUUAAUUGGUAUAAUGCCUAGUAUACAGAAACCAUAUCAGUCUGACCAGUGUCGAAACUGUCAUUAGACUGCUUUGUAGUAAACAAUCUCCUAGUCAACUUAAGCCUCCAGCAAGCUUGUUGGAGUUGGGUUUAUCUAUUGUGAAAUCUCAUAUUCUCAAUCGUCAAUUUCAACUUGAUUUAACUAGAUAUGAUCUUGCACAGAGAUCAGAGAUUGGAAAAGAUUCAUGCAACCAACCUGAGAAAAUGGGACAUUAUGGUUGCUUGUUGUUGUGGAUAUGCUGAAUUUUCCAAUGCUAUUUUCGGUUUCAUGCCUUUGUUUUUAGUUUUUCUUAUCAAUUUAUCAUUACAUUUCAUAUUAUGUUUUAAUCUAUCUUUUGUGCAAAAUUUUCAAAUUUCCAAAUUCGUGAUUGCAAACUACAGUUGUCUUUAUACCAUUUCCUUUGAUGUAUGUGACAAUUACUAUGCUAUUUCCAUAAGCAAAAAAGAAUCAAUGAAUUUACUAAUGCAAAACUUUUAUUGUUGCCUCUAUUUUAUCAGGAUCAAAAUUCUUUUAUUUGGCUAUUCACAUAUGAAAAUUUGUUUCUCCUUAUGUGCUUACUUAUCCUUUUCUGUUCUGUAAGGCUCUAUGUACCCGAGUUCAACCUGGUCUGGAGCAGAAAGUUGUCCUUCCCCGUGAUUCAUAUCUGCAGGUGAACUUAAAGAUGAUUAUCAAUUUACUUAAUGUUGAUGAUGCAAGAUACAUCCUCGUUUUUUCAUUUUGGUUACAUGAUUACAUUUGUGCUAUUUUCAGAGUUAUUUUGAUGAUAUUGCAAAGUAUCUCAGAGUGGGACCACCAUUAUACUUUGUUCUAAAGGACUUCAACUACAGGUACUAUGACAUGAUAGUUCUCGAUGGCUUCAAUUAGCAGAUACAUGGGAUAGUCAUCCAUGUUUAAUCUUAAUUGCUUAACUUGCUUUUUCUAGCUUGGAAUCAAGAAAUACAAACCAAAUAUGUUCGAUCAGCCAGUGUGAUCCAAACUCUUUCUUGAAUGAGGUUAAUUGCUUUGAUCAUCAUUUUAUUUCAGUAAAAAAUAGUGUGUAGAUUGCUCUAUAGGGUGCAAUUCCACAUGAAGUAUGUUUCAGAUUAUCAUGUAUGUCUUUUUCUAGGGAUCAGUGUAAAUUUUACUGUUGGACUUGGUUAAUUAUUACUGUCUAAUUAAGUUUCUGUUUAUGUUUUUUUCAAAGCAGAUUACAAAAGCAUCAUUGGUGCCAUCAUCAAGUUAUAUCGCUAAACCUGCUGCUUCAUGGCUAGAUGAUUUUCUUAUUUGGUUAUCCCCUGAAGCAUUUAGCUGCUGUCGGGAGUUUUUGAAUGGGAGCUAUUGCCCCCCAGAUGAUCAGGUCAAAUGAUUUUCUGUUUUGCCUGAUCAUGCAAUAAACAUCUUCUGAACUCUUGGUGAAAGUGCUUCCAAAUCUUAGUACAUUUUUUGGUAAUCUGACUAGGUCUUCUGGCAAAUUCAUUGGUUCCCUAUUUAGUUCUUAAAACCUGUUGGCCAUUAGUUGUGCCUACUUCUGUAGUUCUUCUAUGCAUACAUGUAAAUGAACUAUGUAUUUUAUCAUGUGGUAUAGCUCAUUACAUUUAUCAUUUAUUUGAACCAUCACACCACUAUGGCAGAACUUGAGAUUCAUUUAUGAUACAGCCAUAGGUGAUAGGCCUCCAGGUAUAUUGACCAGGGCAUAAGACCAUGACAUCAAGCAUUUUGCAGUACCUUUUUUCUUUAUAAGUCAAUUGUUUUUCUUUUGAACAUGCCAACUCAUGAGGAGUGGCGGUGCUUCUACCAACUGAAAAAACCAGCAAUUACAUGCAUUUUCGAAUACUUCAGGUUGACAUGAGUACAACAAUUACCUCUUAUCGCUGGCAUAAAUUUGAUCAUAUAAACAAAUUUUCACUUAGUUCAGAAAGCACAAAUAGCCCUUGUGAAGCACUAUGAGACUUGAUAUAAUCUAUCUAAAUAUCUCAGCUUUGACUUUAAUCAGUAAAUUUACCCCAGAUUUACUUGUGAAUGACACUUUGCCAAUUAGGUACAUCCAUGUUAUGCAAUAUUUCUUAUUGCUCUAAAUUUGCGAACAGAAUUACUAUGCAGAGAAAAGGAUAACUAUUGAUAUGUUUUCUCUUUGAAUCUCGUUGUGACUAACACAAUCUGUAGCAGUUGAAUGUGCUUAUAUUGACUGAAUACUGAACUUUUCCUCAGAAUCAGAUUAAGCUGCUCUCUUACUUGGUCAUUUAGCAAGGGAACUAGUUCAAAAGUAAAAUUGUGGAUAAUUACUUCAUCUUUUGGUGUUGGUUGUUUUUUGUAAUUUAUAAGUGUUUACUUAUUGAAUAAACUGUUAUAAGUUGAUAUUGUUCUAAGGCUAGUUUUAAUUUGCAAAUGAUAUGCUUACCUGUAUCUAUUGGUUCCAGCCUCCUUGUUGCCAACCAAAUGAUGGAUUAUGUACAACUGGUGUUGAAUGCAAAGACUGUACAACGGUAUAAUAUCUUUGUAAGCUUUUAUUCAUAACUGUAUUAACUAAUAAGUAACACUUUUUUUAUGAAAGGGUAAUCAGAUUAUCAUAAUCCAAUUACUUUAAUCAUUAAGUGGUGGCACUUCGCAUUGUUUGAUAGUGAGCAAGUAUUGAUAAGAAAUUUCGAGACACAAGGGUUGUUUAUUUCCUCUGCUCAAAUUAUAAUGUCAAGCAAUUAUUGCUUGUAGAUGAAGCUCAAAUUUUGUAAAAUUGUAAUUAUGUUAAUUUGUGUGAUGUGAUAAUUGGAAGUUCUCACGAUGGUUUUAUGCUUUUAGUGCUUCCUCUAUUCAGAUUUGCAUGAUGGCCGACCAUCAACAGUGCAAUUCAUGGAAAAGCUUCCAUGGUUUCUCAGUGCUCUGCCAUCUUCUAAUUGUGCCAAGGGUGGUAAAGGAGCUUACACAAGCAGUGUGAAUAUCUCCGGUCUGUACCAUGUUCUCUGCCUUCUUUGUUAUUGGACAAAAGUUCCUGAAUGAUUUAAUAAAGAAAAAUAUGUCUUCAUCAUAUUUAUGUCAGGCUAUGAGAGUGGUAUAAUUCAAGCAUCAGCUUUCCGUACUUAUCAUACACCACUUAGUAAACAAGUAACACUACCUCAUGAAUCUUAUUGUAGCUUUGCUAAAGGUCAUUUCUUGGAGCUUACUUAAUAUGCUGUUUCUCACUUCAGAGUGACUAUGUGAACUCGAUGAAAGCUGCACGGGAUUUUAGCUCUAAGUUGUCUGAUUCACUGAAGGUACAGUUUUUCUAUUCCUGCAACUGCUGGUAAUGUUCUAAGACUGACUACAACAUGCACAUCUUAUGGAGCUAGAGAAAGGUUGCAACUGUAUAUAUGUGCAUGCACAUACUCUAUCCAAAUGCCUAUAUGUCCAUCUUAUGAUAUUCUGUAGAUUAUUAGAAAAAAGGCUAAAAAGGAACUCAUGACAUAUUUUGUAGAUUACGAUUAAAUUUGGAUGUUGAUUAACAUCCAAGUAUAAACCCAGGCUAUGGGUUGUUGAUAAACAUGAUUAAACUUGGUAGUCUUAUUGUAGUUUUUAUAUAAAUGCCUUGCCAUGAAGGUACACAAUUUUAAUAUCUGUCGGUAGAGUAUUAAUAUGCUGUGCAUGCAUCUACAUGUAGUGCUUGAUAAGAAGUUAAGAACUAAAUCAGACAUUUAUACAAAGUUAAGUGUUCAUGUACCAAGUACCAACCAUAUAUAAUCAGCUAAAAGGAUUUUUUACUUACCAUAGAGCUGUGUGUAGGGCAAUUUCCUUAGGGAGGGUCAUUGUGUGCUGCCUUAUUCGUGCACUAUAAAUUGAGAGGCUUUUUGAGUGAUUUUAACCAUGGUAACUCAGGUCAUAAAGGAGUAACCUUACUAUGUUUCAAGGGUCACCCACCAAUUAUGAACAACUAAAUCAUAAAAUAACAUCUACAGAAUUAAUAUGGCUCAUACUUGAUAUAACAUUUAUAGAUCCAAUUAAAAUUAUUCAACGUCACCUUUAUUCAAGUAACUAAUCCAAACUCAAAUAUCCCUUGCAUCCUUUAUCUCACACCAACUCAAGAAAAUUCAAUUUAGGGAUGGUCAUGUUGUUCCCAACUAACUGAUGUAGGUUACAUGGUUCUUUCCUCGGUCAUUGUGCUUUAGAAAUGGUGGAAUCAUUAGUACAUUUAAGAGCCAGUAAACCCUUUUUAGUUUUCUUAUUAUAAUUGAAAUUUGAUUUCAUCUUUGUCUACUUCUCAUAAUUUUUUCAAUGUAACACCAUGAUAAACAUUUAUGGUUUCUUUAAUAUCUAUUUUUUCUCAUAUUUAAAACAGCAGCAAAUUUUUAUGUAAAGAACAAUAUUUUUUACUAACCACUAAUGCAACUAUCUAAUGCAGAUGGAAAUCUUUCCCUAUUCAGUGUUCUACAUAUUUUUUGAGCAAUAUUUAGAUAUAUGGAGGACCGCUUUGAUCAACAUCUCAAUCGGCCUAGGUAAGGUUUCUCAUACCAGUGCCAUGGAGCCUCGUGCUCUUGGCUGCCCUUUUUAUAAUGUUAUGGUUAUAUAUCUUGUACUUGUAAUAGAACAAUUAUAGCUUAUAGUGACCUAAGACAUUCUAACAGAAAAACAGCAAGAUUAGCUCUUGUCUAGCUCAGAAUAGCUUAGUUUUGCCCUACUCUAUGUUGGUAUGGGCUAUGGUUUACCUUACUGGUCUGUACCGAUUUACCAACCAACUAUUGGUAUGGUACGUACCAAACUAUACCGAGUCAUACCAAGCAUAUCAACAUAUGGUACAUGGGGGCAUGCCGAUGUGCUGCCCAUACUGGUCUCCUAUUGGACUCGUACAUAUUUCCCAUAUCAAGCGGUAUGUUGCGGUAUGAUAAACCUUAGUAUGGGCAAUGUUGGCACCGAUUUGUUUGUAAUGUAUCAAUACCUUUAAUGGUUGAUGACUUGUCAACAACUUACUGGUAUCACUUGGUUUGCCUAAUCCACAUAUGAUAACUGGAUGGAUGUAUAGCUACUUGAAUUAUUGGCUCAAAUCAUCUUCACAAUUAAAGUUGAUUCAUUCAAUUACUCCACAAAUUCACUAGAUGUUAAAUAUCUAUCUUAUUUAUUCCUUGACUCUAAGAAAUCAACGGUUACUAAUUUGGCAUUAAUUUUAAAAUAUGGUUAAAUUUUUGGUAAAACUUAAAGUCACUAUUCAUACUAUGAAUGUUUAAAUGUGAUUGUCCAAAACAGAUAAAUGCUUUUCAGAAGGUACUCGAUUCAUGACAAUUACCAUAGUUAGCUGAUCUUUCUUAGUAAUUGAGAUAUAAAUUCUGACUGUUACUAUAUUUGUUGAUAGGUGCUGUAUUUAUUGUUUGCCUGAUUCUCACUAGCAGGUAUGGAAUCAAUAUUCUAUCAUUUCACAAAUUCACUUAGGUAAUUUCUUGGAUAAAUUUCAUGUUAAGCCUCAAAGCCUUCACUUUUAUUUGCAGCAUAUGGAUCUCAGCGAUAAUAUUAUUGGUCUUGACAAUGAUUAUUAUUGAUAUGCUGGUAACUUUACUUAUCUGUUUAAAGUAUGGUCAUCCCUGUGAGGUGUGAUUAUAUUUGAUACAUUUUCUACUCUACAAUUGCAUACAAGUGGUGUGUUUUCAAAUUUCCCCAAUCUGAGGCCUAUUACAGCCAUGAGUACUGAAAAUGCUACUUUAUCCUAUGCUUAUAAUUUUUCUAGAUUUUCAUCUGUUGAAUUUUUAUGACAUUUGUGUGACAUCUGUUGCACAUGUGAUAUGUAAAUUUACAACUGAUCAAUGAAAUUGAUUUAAAUAUGAGGAUAUGCCAUAUAUGUUUUAAGUUAAUAAUAUCACAUAAUUGAAUGAAACACAAUUACUAAUAAAUAAAUUAUAAAGUACAUUUGGUUGAAGGAAACUUUUGUAGUUAAAGCCAAGAAAUUUAAUUUCACCUGGCCUGGUCCGAGCAUGAACUGAUACACAUCCCAGUCCAUUUUGGUGGUCUAAUUUGGUUGUUCUUUCUUUUUUUACAGCAGUGUUGAUUUUUCUAAAAGGGAACAAGUUUCUUUUAAGAAUUCUAACAGUCUUUUGCCCUAAAACACUCAUGAAUCCUCAUGAGCCCAUCUCCCCUCCACAUCAUCGCCUGCCUGCUGUCACCUAUCCACCAGUUGUCCACUGCUUGUCGUAUUCAACACCAUAGUACUCCUCUCCACCUCUUUACUUCUUCCUCCUUCCUUCCCUCCACCACUCCACCCCCCUCUUAGAAUAGUACCAAUGUACCAUGGUACAUGCUGCAUACCAUGUGCCAGAACAUCAGCAUGAAUCACACCCAUACUGAUCCAGCAAUCGAUCAGCGUGGUCUGGUAUCUGAAAUUUCAUUCCUUGAUUAUAACAAUGAUUUUUUUCAUUAUAACAGUUUAUCCAGUCACAUCUAAUGAUAGAUUUGAACUCUGAAAGUAAUGAACUUAUAAAAAGAAGCAAGAAUAACUCUCCUGAAAAUGUCAACCUACACAAAAUCAUAUCCUCUUGACUUGUAACAUUAAUGUCUUUGAUGUGAUCCGAAGUGGGUAGCUCAGUGACUUGUGAAGAAUCAAGAGGAUAAUUAAUUUGGCCAUUAAUGAAACUCCAAAAAUUUUGCAGACGAUAAAGGCAAUAGUUGAGAAUUAUGAUUAUUGGUGAGUAUCUCCAAAUUAGGAAUUCAACCAAAUUUAGAUGUAAAAGAUAGUGCUUAUAUUGGUAUCUUGAAUUCUUUAAAUCAGGGUUUGUUGUACCGAUGCAUACUGCUUGGUAUGGGCAGUACGUAUCAGUCCGAUAGGAUACCAAUACACGAACUGCCUUCUACCGGGCUGUACUAGAUGGUAACGAUCGAAAUCCGACUGUUACCGACCUGUACUAGUCAAUUUGACCAUUUAAGGCUUAGAAGAGGAUUUUUGAACCCUUUUCCUCCCCCCUUUUUCAACUUAUUUCACUCUCUCAAUCUCUUGAACCAUUUCAGACUUUUUUUCACUCAUAUCUCUCUUUUAUUCUUACAUUUUCACUUUCAGUAUACUGAUACAGUGUAUUAGUAUACUAUAUUGUGAGAUCAAUUUCAGGAUUGAAUUCGACAAACAUAUCAUAUUGAUAUACAGAUACAUAGGAUUAAGGAUUUUGAUCUAUUACGCGUAAGGUCCCAUCGUUCUUUUUGGUGGUAGGACCAGGUAUAACCAUCGAUUGAUUAUUUAAUUCAUUUAAAUUUUACAGUUUAAUUUGUAUAAAAAAUAAUCUAACAAUUCAAAUAAUUUCUUUGUAGAUAAUUCAAUGUUAAUGAAAGGAUGAUCCGGAAUGUAUCAUAAAGCUACUCCUCAAAGUUCAAAAAAGAUAUAUGAUACUAUUUUUUCCUAAUUUAUAUUAUUUUUGCUAAGAUUAUACUAAAUUUAUAUUUAUUUCUAACUUAAAAACCUUAAUCUAACUUCUUCUUCUUUUUUUCUUUUUUUUUUUCUAUUUUUAGAUAUUUUUGGAUUUUUUUUAUGAUUUUGAGCACACUAUUGGUAUGCCUCGUUAUAGGCCGAAAUUGCAAUCCUUACUUUAAAUUGUCUACGUAAGAAAAUUCUGAUCUCGCAAAAGUGCUAACUCCUACGGUCCUACCUGAAUUCAUGGGUUAAAAGAAGCACACUGUUCAUAGUAAAACUGUCAUAUUGUUAACUUAUUACCAAGUCUGGAGUUGGUCAACAUAUUAGGGUGUAAAGUUCAAUGAAAAUAAUAUCCAAUUUAUUUGUUGAAGUUCUGAUGUCAUAUAGGCAUGAAUGAAGAUACUGAUGCAAAUAGCCAUAGAACAUUGAUUCAUCAUGGUAUUGCAUGUUAAGAAGCAUAAUGCGAAAUUCUGACAAAUGUCUUUGACAUCAAAAUGUUAUGUGAGAAUAAGAUGAGAUAUAUUUAUCCAAGAAACAUGAUCAAUUAUUAAAAGUAUGUCUCAUCAAGUAUCUAGAAAAGUACAGAUCAGUUAUUUGGGUGUUUAGCAUUCUUUAAGAUUCAUUAUUGAUUUACACAACCUUUUUAGGUUUAAGCCAACAAGGACCAUGAAUCAGUGUGUCAGAAAAUUUCAUUACUGAGACUUAUGAGAAAAAAAUUAUCUGCAAGUUUAUCAAUGAAUGUUAGGAUUAGUCUCAUGAUUAUUUCUAUAUAUGUUUGCUCUUUCUAGUUCAUGUACUGUAUGCAUAUGAGCUGUGAUUUAAUGCAAUCAUGUGGCACAAUUUUCAGGAUUUAUCAAAUACUUCGAUAUUAAAUUAGGAUUCUUACUUUGCCUGUUAUGUCAGUAUUUGCUUAAAUACUCAGCUUCCACUUUUCUGACCAAACAUAUCUGGCAGGGAGUCAUGGCUAUCCUGGACAUUCAAUUGAAUGCAAUUUCUGUUGUAAACCUUGUGAUGUCAAUAGGAAUUGCUGUCGAGUUUUGUGUUCAUGUAAUGCAUGCCUUCUUGGUAAGUGCCAAAUAUUUUUGUCACAAGUCUAGGAACUUUAAUUUGUGAAGCAGUUUUGUUUUGCUAUGAACAAAUUUAGGUUUCUUUCAUGCUUCGGAAUUCAAAAGUAUGCUUCAAACGUUGUUCGGAAAUCCUCUAUUCAUGUAUUUGAGAAAGAGGUUCCAAGAACUUGCUUCUUUUAUUUCUACAUAGAAUACAAGACACCUCUUUUGGGAACUCAUCAAAGUCUAUAAUCCUUUUUCAAUUAAUUUUAGCCCACUCUUUGACUGGAGCUUGUUUUGAUUUGAUUUAGUACCAAAGUGGCCUACUCAGUCGAAUGGGUUUAUUUUCUAGGGUUUAUUUGAUCAAUGAAUUUAAGCAUAUUUCCACACUGCAUGGCACAGACCAUAUAUGUCAAUCCAUAGUGGGAAUGGCAUCUAAAGCUCGUUGUUCUCGCCCAUGCCAUGCCCUAGUGGGAAUGACAUCCAAAGCUAGUCAUUUUUGGCAAUAAAUUAUAGGUACUUAAAAAUUUUGAUUAGGUACACAAAGAAAACAUUCUCCAACUGUUGCUCAACAGAAGCUUGACACUCCAUUUUUUAUAAUUUUGAGUGACCCCUUCGGAACUUUGGGUAGUAGCUGAAUUUUUAGGAUGUCAAUAUGAAUCAAAUGUCAUAACUUCUGCUGCUGAUUGAAAGUGUUGCCUCUGCUGAGAGCCUGUUUUUCAUGCUUCUGGUAAAACAGCUUCUUAAUCUGUUCACCUUCUCUUUAUAUCUUUGCCAAGACAUGGCAGCCUAAUGCAAGGAGGCACUACUCAUGCAUCCAGAUCAGCAAACAUGCCUGUUCCAAUACUUUUUGGGUUUUUCUGUUGCUGAGGUUCUACUAUUCUUCUUAUCAUAAUUAACGACUCAUGCUAAUCUUUACCUGUGAACAUUAUCAUGCAACUCCCUUUUAAAAUAGUAGGUGGGGAUAUGAUAGCAUAUUAUUGCAUUACAACUGUUCUCUUAUAUUUGUCCUGUUAAUGGCUCCAUGAGUUGUUUCCUAGAAGCAAGAAGCUUUUGCUCCUUACACCAAUGAUUCAACCUCCAAUCAAAUCCCUGGCAUAUAAUUUCAUACUCCAGUUUCAAGUGGAUGUUGUUAUUCUUUUGAUAGGCAAUACCAUCUUACCUAGCAUUUGUAAUACUUAUUGCAAAUCUGAAUAGGUGUUAUCAACAUUCUUACAGGUGGUGAACUAAGUAACUCUGCAUAGCCCUGUAAUUGUGCUUCUAUUCGCUGGGACAUUUAGAUGUAAUCUAACUGAAAUUAUUUAUGAAAAAAUUAUUACGCUUCAACAAUUUUAUUUCGAUUUUUGGUUUCUGAACAUCAACUAAAAUGUAGUCUGCUGGUAACAGGUAAACAGUGGGGAUAGAGGAUCUCGAACCAAAGAGGCUGUAUCUACCAUGGGUGCUUCAGUAUUCAGGUAAGAUUUUUCUUUUCUCCUUUCUCCUUUAUUGUAGUUAUAACUGGUAAGAGCCAUACGUAACUUGAAGCCACUGCCACGGUCACCAGUGGGAGCUUCUGUAUUUUAAACUUGUAAUGUGAAAAGAAAAAAACUGGUUUGUUCUUAGUGGCUUAUAUUUGCCACACUAGAUUGAUUGACUGCUGAUUUAGACCCACAUAUAAAGUGCAGUCCAAAAGAAUCUGGUAGUCAUCUUAGGCUUGUUACAUUUCCCUCACUGCUAUAGCCUUUUGGCUUAGUAAUGCCCAUUUCUUAUUGAAGAUUGACUGGGCCUAACUGAGCAUUAAACAAGAAUUCAAAAGCUAAUGCCUUCAUUACAUUUCAUUGUUUGUGGAGUUGCCAGCUGCACUAGCUCAUGUGGUUGAAUACGUGUUAAUGAGAUUGUGUUGAUUGUUAGUUCACUUGUCAUUUUUAUCUUGCAUUCAAAUCAUUGUAAUCGAAGAUUUAUAACGUAUGUUUUUGUCUCUGUCUCUUGCAGUGGGAUUACCCUUACGAAGCUAGUCGGAGUUAUUGUCUUGCGUUUCUCAAAAUCUGAAGUUUUUGUGGUCUCUAAUAAAAUCUUGCACUUCUCCUUUUCUAAUUUCGUUCAUAAAAUCAUUGUUUUUAUUUCAUGUUUCUGUGGUGUCUUUCAGGUUUACUUCUUCCAAAUGUAUAUGGCAUUGGUCGUCAUCGGAUUCUUGCAUGGACUAGUGUUUCUCCCGGUAAGACUGAAACCAAUUGUUUGCGAAAGAUUUUGUUGAAAGUUGCUUCUGAUUACUGGUAGUGUAUUUCCAGGUGAUCUUGAGCAUCUGUGGUCCUCCUCCAAGGUCUAUGUUGGACAACUCAGACUAGCUGAUCGAUUGCCGGUCUGAGAACCGACGAUGGUUAUUUCUAAUUACACUAUUAUAUACAUUUCUGAUAGCAUUUUCUAUAGUUUCUGUUUAGUUGAAGUAUCUGGUUAACAUUUGAAUUUUUCAAUGCCACCCCUAUGGACUUUUGUCUUAAUGCAUACAUAAACCAGAGAAGGAAAUGGAAGAUUUAGCUUCAUACUGAGUUUGAUUAAAUUGUUUGCUUAUCGGCAUUUAACUGUAGUAUCAAUUGCAUCUGCUGCUCUCUCUAUUUCUCUCUCGCUCUCUGUUCAUGAUCUGAUAUGCAAAGUGAUGCAAUCCAAGAAAGCAGCAGCAACAAAUUUCAGGUUUUGCUCAGUUAUUUUUGCAGUCAUUUUCUUGGGACAAUCAAGCACAAGAGGGCUUCUAAUGGAAGCAUCUUAACAUGAUCAUCCUUACAUGAAAGCACCAUCUGGCUCAAGGAUUCAAUUACAGUAUGUGAUAUAAGCUCGGAAGUUGCAAAUAAACAUGAGCAUCACUAUACAAAUUUGUAUACAAAGCCAACUGUGGAAAUUCCCCACUGAAAUCCAUAUGAUACAGACAAACAACAGAAUCUCUGGAUCUGCUAAAAAAUCAUGGCAAAUACCAUCUAUAGAACUCCUGUACAUGAUCACAUACUUCAAACUGUCAACAAGGUGUCAUUUGUCUGCAGCAUGUUAUCAUAGGUUAGUUCAAAGUGACAAUUUUUGUACUUUUUGAACCAUUUUUCUUCCCCUUUGUGCUGGCCGAAAAAGGUGUUCGGCCUCACCCAUUUGAUAGGCAUCAUACUGGUAUAUGCAACCUUAAUACCACCAUGAAGGAAAACUCAAGCAGCAGAGAACCAUGCAUUUGCAUCAGUGUCAGUCAUCACUGGUGCACAGACAGAGACCACAUUUCCACACACAAGUCACCAGUUUUGGCACCAUCCAUUUCAAAUGCUCCUUCAACGAUCGCCCUAGUUGUUGGUUUCUCGGUCCCUCAGAUACAGCGUAAAGCCGUGGAAAUGCACCAUACCCAGGCCAUUCUUCUUCAUGGAUUUGUGUUGUUUGGCCCUCACUAUGAGCAUUUUCACAUGCUUUGUUUGACCAAUCCAUUAUUGAGAUUGUUCGCCAUUCCAAAUGAUUAACCUGAAACGGUCAAGAUAAUGCUGUGCUGCCCAAUGAGGACCUAGCGGUUGGUUGAACAUGAUGCACACAUAGUUUGAUUGUCUGUGCUUGUGUUGAUCUGUACACAUCGAUGCAUUCCUUCAGGUCUUCAUCACAUGUUAUUAGGAUCCACUCGGAGUCUUCGUCCAGAUACUUGAUAUCCACUAAAGUAGUAUCAUAUAUAACGAACCGCCUUCGGAUCUCUUGCUUCAAAUCUUGGAAGCCCCAAGUUGGCUGUAGUCUGAAUAUAACUUUUUCUUCCCCAUAAAUUGCUUUUACUUUAAGAAAAUCACAUCUAGAAGGAUGGUGUUCGAUCUGAGGUCUCUGACUUUGCAAUCUAACCACAGAUUUUGGAGUCACCUCAAGUGGACAAUGCAGUUCUACAUGUAUUUGUACUUUAUUAAGCACGUCACUCCGAUUCUCCUCCACCAAAGUAGCUUGUCUAAAUUCAAAUUCAUGAGUCUGAUUACACUGCCUUUGCUCACUGGAACAGCCCUGACUGGAAUUAGAGUUUUGACUACAUGAAGAAGAAGAAAGAGAGUUUGUUCCAGAUGUGUGUGAAGUAAAUCUACCUUCUAGCUGUUGCUUUGCAUUUGAGGAUUCCGGGUGAUCAGUUUGCUUCAACAAUGAAAAUGUGGUACUAGUUGCUAAGUUACUAUCUGACCGAGUGUUCUUUAUGAAGCUUUCAUACAGGGAACUGAACUGGAAUGCUUCUCCAGGACCAUGGACAGAGUCUAUAACCACUUGCAGUUUCCUUAAGGAGCGACCGACCUUCUUGAUCUUUCGUGAAGGCCAACGAGUAAUUCCGUGUUGCCUACAUAUUCUUUUGAGAGUAGUAGGGCACACUGAAAAGAAGCCAAAAAUAUCGGUCUUAACAACAUCAGACACCUUAUAUUCAAGGCAGGUAAUCCUAUUAUCACUGAAAAGCAUUUUUUCAUGAUGCCAUGGUGGAACCAAUCAAAUCUAAAUAAUCUGUUUUGUGAUGUUCUUAAUAUGAAUUAAAAGGCUAGAAGUGCAAUUCGCUUAUAGUUGGACAAGGUAAAAGAAGAGAAGGAAACCAUGUAAAAUUUAAAAGCAUUCGAAAAUGACGAGGGGAAUCAAGAAGUGGCAAAUGCAAGUUCAUAGGUAGGAAUAGUCGUAGAUAUCUGCAUGUUCGACAGGAAUACUUCAUAACAAGAUUAAAUUUCAUUAUCUUAUUCUUUUGUGUUAAAGCAAAUAAUGACGUCCUCAAAAUUUAUUAACACCGGAAACAUAUCAUGUUCGCAUGUAGAUCCAAAGUGACUAAUUCACUUCCAAAAGAUAGAACGAAGAAGUCACGAUAAUAUUACCUCCAAGGCUUCUGGCUGCAUCUUUUAGGCUGCCGGCAAAAUAUUUCUGAAGCUCUUGCAAACUGACAGUCCUUUCAGUUUUUGCACGCCUCUUUUCUGUUGCCUUCUCCGCAUUUGAAACAUUAGUUUCAGCAGAGAAAGAAACUAUAUAGUCACUGUUGGACUCUCCAUGGUGCUGCUUGACCUCGGAGAAUAUAUUUCCAGUCGGUAAUACCACAUCUGAGGGAACCCAGUGUGUUGAAACACUGAAUCCCUCAAAUUCCUUUGUACGUUCCGUUGGCACGGAAGCAGGAAGAACGUUCUUUGGAAUACCUACAGCAGGUGUUCCCGAUGGGAGAAGUUCGUCGACAAUAUAUCUUUGACCAAUCGCAGAAACGGAGUUAUCAGAAAACAUAUCUGAAGGGAUUUGCUCAUUAUUUUCCAACAUUGUCUCAUCUUCUAAUUCCCUAGUUGUCACAACUCUAAGUGUCUGGCACACUUGCUGUAUCGUAACGGACAAAGAAUUCAGCAUCAGUUUCUGUUCUUCACCUUCUAUGCAGUGGAUGGGUAAGAAGAACUCCAGCACAAAGUCCACAUUUCCAGAAUGAACACAUCGCAAUCGGAUAGCCACUGCAGCCCUUAAGUGGAACAACUUAGCAUGGUGUGACAGUGGAUAUUCAAUCUUGCUAAACUCCGUAACAUCCGACGAGAAGCAUGGUUGAUUCGUCAUAAAUGCCUUACCGACUAAACCUUGACCUCUAAACAAAUGAUGCUCAGAGCAAGCUUGCUGAAAACCCAACAUGCUAGGAUCUUGUAUGUAACAAGCUUCAUCAAUAGUAGAAACACAUUCGCUGAAGCUUUCAUCAGAAUGCCGGCUGCCCUCUCUGCCUUGUUGAAUGCACGAAAUCCAUGUUUGAGAUAAUGGCAGCCUAUGGGUCUCGCAAGCAGUUCUCAAUACCAUUUGGAUCUCUGGUAUGGCAGCAAGGUAAGAAUCACCGGUCAUCUGACAACAGAAAAUAUGUGUCACUACAAGUUGAACCAGAAUUUAUUUUCAGGAGUUCCUUGGCUCACCUUUAAACGGGGAACACUUAGAACUUCAGAACUCCUAAGAUCCACUGCCUGCAACAAGUAUCAUAAGAAGAGAUCUUGAGGACAAAAGGAAAUAAACAAAUAAGAUAACUUUCUUUUCCAUUCAACGGUGAGGGGUAGAUUGCCAUUUAUCAUCAUCUUUCUCAGCAUGUUCCUUAUAUAUGACACCAAAACAAAAAAGAAGGGAGUCAACAGUCCAGUAGAUUUUUCUCAAAGUAUCACAGUGAAAGUUUGGACUUUGUAAUACAACUCUUCAUGAAAUUAAACUGAUUCGCAAGAACAGAAAUCCUUGCAACUUGAAAAAAUAAAAAGCUUGUAAGAACAAUCAUGAAACUGCAGAAAACCAUUAAGUAUCAAAAGUGCAUGAUGUAAAACCCCUAAGAGAAACUAUUAACUAUCAAGCAGAGAGGGCGAAAAGUAAAACAUUAUCAGAAAGAGGAUUCAGAUUACACAGCAAAAUUUGAAGAUGAGGACUCACCUGAAGAGCAUUACAAAUGUUCUCAAGAUCAUAACUGUAGUUGACCUUCUGUGUGGUCAUCACAACCUCGACAACCCCUAAACAAGAUGGACUAUUUCUCUCGAAAAUUGGCAGAGCGAUUGUUCCACGAACAUCAUAACGCUGAGCAUCACCCACACGAGGGUACUCAAAGCUGCUGAAGUAGCGGACAUCUGGAGUCCAUUCCGGCAACCUUCCCAGAAACACCCGGCCAGGCAAGCCCACCGCCUCAUGGGAGCUCUCAUCGGCCAAGAACUGGUACCUCGUCGAGACCGACCUGUAAUUUACAAGCCUCUGACAGUUGAAAUCUAGCAAGAAAGGUUGGCCACAAGUCGUAACAACUUGCUGGUUUCCUCUCAUGGCAGGCACCCACAUCUGAACAAGGACAUCACCUUCUCUUUGUGACUCCUUGAUGUACUUGAGGACAUACCUCAGUCUUUGUUCCACACUACCUGUUUCACCCUUGGGCUGGAUCUGCCGACUCAUGCCUGGUUCAUAACUGGGAUCCUCUGCUUCCAUUCCAUCUGAUCGUACGCGACACUUGGUUUCUCCGACAUGAUUCAGAAUGAUGGGUCGUUGUCCACCAUCAAGCAUUUGCAUCUGAGCUUCAUCCGAAGCUAACUCCACAGAGAAAACUGAUCUCUCUGCAUCGACUUGGUAAUCAAUUCCUGCAAGGGUUGGGUUGGAACUAGUGCUGCUGAUCCCAAGAACAGGCGAAAAGCAGGCAGAGCUGAGGGGGCCUGUGGAUGCAGAGGUACCCGUUUGCAGGAGAUCAGAGCAAUCGAAGACUGAUCCUGAUAACAACUCAUCCAUGAGGUCCAAAUCAUCAACAGCAGCAUCCGAGAGGGUCUGACCCGACAAGCUUCCCUUGGGAGGAACGGAGUCGUCCAUCGGCAGAUACUUUCAGAACCCCAUAACAAGAUCCUUACUGCAAUAUGAUGAUCCCUGAGAACCCAUCACAAGGAUAUGUAACAUGGCAUUCACAAAGAGAACAAGCAGGCGCCUAACAAAAUCUUGAAAGAGGAAUUAGUAGCGACAAACAAGAACAGAAGCAAGCAUUCCCAGGCGUGCAGAGAGGACUCAUGGAUCAUUGAAUAGCUAUGGACCCACAGCUACAAAAGAUUCCGACUUGCUAAAGAACAAAAAGGGGAGAAAGCUCUCACCUCCAGAGGACUGCUCCAAGAUGGAACUUUUAAACUCUUCUCCUGCAGAUUACUGCAUCAGACGCCAGAAUCCACAGCAGUGGCUUUUGGAGAGAGGUACAUGCGACAAGAGAACAGAGAGCAGUCUGUGCCUAUGCCCUGAAACCACCGAGAAUCUUUGGGUCAUCUGUCGUCUGCUGCCCACAGAACCGCCCCCCCCCACCCACUGCCUUCUUUUCCCAAAGCAUCUCAGCUGAAUCCUGCUGCAGGAUGGAAUUUGAUGCAGUGAUGGAAUCUCAAUCCUAUUUCUCCUCCUUCAGGGGGACCCACCGGCCACGGAAAUGCCAGCCAUCCCCAUCUGAUGCCCGAAGUCAUACCUGCACGCCAGAGUGCCGGUGAGAGGGACCUCCAAGGAGAGAAGAGGAGGCUCAUGGAAGGGACAAAAGGGGGAAAGCCCAUAGCUUACCAGGACAAAUGUUGACCUUGGAGGCCGGAGAGGGGGAUCUACAAGUCCAGAUUCUGGCAUGGGGAUCUGCAAAGAAGCGUGAGAUGGAGAGAUGGAGAGUGGCGAUCGCUCUCCAAUCUUGGGGUUGUGGAUUUCGUCUGAGGAAGGGAUGAGGCUCCACCACCACAUGGUGGUCCAGGGUUUCACCAAGAAUCUUGGAAUCCACGGCACCAUCCCCUCUUCUUUCUGUGAAGGGAAACAGAGGUUGGUUUGGUGGGAGUGGAACCGUUCAUGCCGUAUAUAUUAUAGCCUACAGUAAGGCCAUAAUAAUAUAUUCAAAGGUCGGUAUGAACUAUUAAUGCUAAUUUAAGUUCUUGCUUGUUCACCUUAUUCAUGCUUAGGGAGAGGGGUUAAAAAACAUACACAUAUAUGAUUAAUAUUUAAGAUAAUUUUCUUAAAAAAUCUUUUAUUUUGAGAAAUUCUCCAUUAAUAUUUUUUUUACUUCUCGUAUUUUUUUUCUAAAAGAUGAUUUUAUUCCUUACGUCUGUCCCGUCGAUCGUCACCUCCACCUUUGAUUAUCUGUUCCAUCGAUUAUUGUUGUCUCUGCUCGUGGUCGCCAGCACCUCUAUCUCCACCCUUGGUCACCUUUGCCUCUUUAAUUCUAUCCCCAUUGCUCAUCGUUCUCGCUCUAUAAUCCCUAUCAUCUUUAUCUUUAUCUUGCAGUGGGAGUUACGGGUGAGGGUAAGAGUUGUGACACCUCCCCAUCAUCCUUUUGCUACAAUUGUUUGCUCUUGGUCAUCUUCACCCCACUACUCACACAAUUUACAUCGUCAUCAUCACCUCUCCUCCCC